CACCUUUUUCUUUUUCUUGUCUUACUUUACAAAUCUGGUCAACAUUUCAUAAAUUUUUGUUUUAUUCAACCCGUAUACCCAUUUUAAUAUCCGGACCCAUAUUUGAUUUUUUCCACUAGGAAAAUUCCAGUUGUUAUUGUUGUUGAAGAUAUUUGAAUUCUUUAGUUUAUGUUCUAGAUAAUUAUUAGUUUAUAGGUUCACAUUACGGGCGGGAUCAAUUUUUUUUAACAUUACAAAUAUUAGUCAUGAUAUAAAUAAAAUCAAUAAAGCAGUUGAACUUUGAAAUCUUCUUAUUUGACUCAUUGGCUAGCUUAUGUUUUAAAUUAAAUCGUACAAAGUUUUUCUAAUGUGAUCAAGUCGACUUAGUAGGUUCAAAUGUCAAAUACAUUCUGGUUGAUAGAUAAAAAAAAAUUAGAUGAUAAAAUUCAAAAAACCAAAAGAUUAAAUUGACGUAAUAAACCUCUUGACCUAAUUUAUUGCCAAGUUUAAAUCUAAAAUUAAAUUAUGUGGUAGUUGCCUUAACAUAACUCCUUCGACUUAAUCGAUCCCAAGGCAAAGUAAUUGACAGGUUAAAAAAAAAAUUUGACAAAAAAAAACUCUUAACUUGAUUCUUUGUUGAGCUUGGUUUAAAAUAGUUUGAUUGAUUCUAAAGCAAUUCAAAUCAUUAUUAAAAAAAUUUUGAGAAUGAAACUAAAAAAAUAUGAUAAUGAAAUAAAUAACAAGGAAAAAUGAAAUUAAAAAAAAAGAAGAAGAAAAAAAAGAAGAAGAAAAGGUAGAGCUUCGCUAUUAUAUGACUAACGAAGCUCUAUUGAGAUUGCCAUGGUAAUGGACUAUCCACUUACUCUAUAUGGAUAUCCAUCGACAACCCAUUUUUUGCAAGGCCUCUAAAGUCUAAAUUUCUUGUAUCAGCAGCAGUAUAAGACUGGACCAAUAUUGCCAGCUAGGGAUUCCUGACGCAUCACCUGACGCAACCACUCAAGAAAUCCCUCCAAUUUCUUCUAAAUAUAUCCAAUUUCAAUCCAAAAAUUAAAAAAAAAAAAUCUAUCUCUUUUUGGUCCACCCUUCAAACCCUUUUUAUAGCCGAGCUCAUUGCAGCGGCUAAAGACUUCAAAGACUGUGCACACAUAAUUAACACGUACACACAGACACCUCUCUCCUUCUCUCUCUCAAGAAAAACUCUCUUCUCUCCUAGCAGUUCUUCUUGUUUUCUUUCUUUCAUUUAUGGACAAAGGAUGGGGUCUUACCCUCGCUUCUGAUCCUGUUUCUGUCUUCUCUAGCAACAACAACAACAGCCCAGUUGGCUCUUUUUUGAAGAUCAAAAGAGACUUCAUUAGUGAUCAUAACAUGGAUCAUACUAGGAACAAUAAUAUGUUUCAGUUUCCAGGUAGUCUUUCUGCUGGCCAAGAUGAGCAACCACCUUCUGCUGCUCACGAAGUAGAUUUCUUUAAAGAAAAGAUAAAUAAGGUUGGUGAAGAUGAUUCUAAGACCACAAGUGUUAUUGUCAAGAAGGAGAAUUCCAUUGCUGAACUUGCUCCAAGGUCUACCAGGACUGCUCUUGAUGAUGUAAAUGUAAGAAAAUGAAUCUGUUUUUUUCUUUUUUUGAGUUAUUAUGGCUUAUAUAGUUUUUUCUAUAAAUAGAGAUGUUGAUUUUAUUUUAAUUUUGUUUCUAAAUAUAGACUGGGUUGCACCUUCUGACUGCUAACUCUAGAAGUGAUCAAUCAACUGUGGAUGAUGGAGUUUCAUCUGAUGUUGAUGAGAAGAGAUCAAGGAACAACGAGGUAAUUAUAAGUUAAAACACAAUCCAAAUCGAUGGUCCAUUAUUUUUUUCUUCUAAGAUUUCCCAUUUAUUUAAUUUAUAUAUAUAUUUUUACAUGUAGAAGUUGGCACAAUUACAAAUGGAGCUGCAAAAAAUGAAUACAGAAAAUCAAAGGUUAAAAGACAUGCUUGGUCAAGUAACCACCAGUUACAGUGCUUUACAGAUGCAUUUUGCAGCACUAAUGCAGCAACAUCAACAACAAAAUCAUGGAAAAGAAAGCAAUAAAGAGCAAGAGGUAAUUAAUUUUCUCUCAAAAUAAUUCCAAGCAUCCUUGACAUGAUGGCGAUGAUGAUGAUGAUUUUAGUGUACCGUGUUAACUUGGUCCAGGCAGGCUAAAUGAUUUGUUUUUUAUGUGUUCAGAUUGUUCAAGGAAGAUCUUCUGAGGAAAAGAGACAUGAGGACGUAGUAGUGCCCAGACAAUUCAUGGAUCUAGGCCCUUCAGCUGAGACUGAUGAACUAUCCAAUUCAUCGUCCGAUGAGAGGACUCGUUCUGGAACACCUCAAAACCAUAUUGAAGUUGCAUCCCCGAAAAACAAUGGUAAACUUCCAUAUGAUCAAGAAAAUUCUAGCUUCCGGGAUGGAAAAAGAAUUGGCGGGGAAGAUAGUCCUGAAUCUGAAUCACAAGCAUGGAAGGUUCAGAAAACGGAUCCUGCCAGUCCUGCUAAUAAGGCUAUAGAGCAAUCGACCGAGGCGACGAUGAGAAAAGCCCGUGUGUCGGUUCGUGCACGAUCGGAAGCUCCCAUGGUAUGUAACUAGCCAAGACUUGUUCAAAAACUUCAUAUAACUUUCAACAAAUUGGAGUGGAACUAAUUUGGUUUGACCGAUUCCAGAUUACUGAUGGCUGCCAAUGGCGAAAAUACGGUCAGAAGAUGGCCAAGGGAAACCCGUGUCCGAGGGCUUAUUACCGGUGCACCAUGGCAGUGGGUUGUCCAGUUCGAAAACAAGUAUGUUUUAGUCCAUUUCUUGAUCCUCGUUUUCAAUCUAAGCUAGGGAUGAUUUGAGGAAUCGUCGAUAAUCCAAUCAAGAUUUUAUCUAAGAUCCUAGUGUAAUUUAUGUUGGUGAUUGAUUUCAGGUUCAACGUUGCGCGGAGGAUAGAACAAUCUUGAUCACAACCUAUGAAGGCAAUCACAAUCACCCUCUACCUCCAGCUGCGAUGGCAAUGGCGUCAACAACAGCAGCAGCUGCAAGCAUGUUGCUAUCAGGAUCAAUGUCAAGUGCAGAUGGCAUUAUGAACCCAAAUUUGCUAGCAAGAGCAAUACUGCCAGCUGGCUCAUCAAAUAUGGCAACUAUUUCAGCUUCAGCUCCAUUCCCUACUGUAACAUUAGACCUCACUCAUAAUCCAAACCCUCUACAGUUCCAAAGACCUCCUCCACAAUUCCAAGUCCCUUUUCCAGGCCAGCCUCAGAACUUUUCCUCAGUCACAACGCCACAAUUGCCUCAGGUUUUUGGUCAAGCCUUGUACAACCAAUCGAAGUUCUCUGGCCUACAAUUGUCUCAGGAAACUGGGACUCCACAAUUAGGCCACCAAGCUCAACCCCACUUAGUGCACUCAGGACAACAACCUUCCCUAUCUCAGGACACAUUGAGUGCGGCCACUGCCGCAAUCACCGCCGAUCCUAACUUCACUGCAGCACUUGCAGCUGCCAUCAGCUCCAUCAUUGGUGGUGCUAACAGCAACACCACCAACAACAACAAUAACAGCAAUGCCACGAACAACACAAGCCACAGAAAUUAAUUAGACAUAUCUCUUAUCAAUUUUUUAGUUUUUUUAUGAAUAGUUAAUUACAUUUUCUUGUUAUCAAUAGUUCUUUUUCUCUUUCUUCCCUUCUUCCGAGGGAUGAAAAUGAGGUUCAGAUGUUCAUAGUUUCUUUUUUUUUUUUCCUUGUUGGGGGUCGAAAGGAUAGAAAUUAAAGUAAUCAUAAGAUUUUCAUUUAUUUUGUUGUUGUUAUUUCAUGCUUUAAUAGUUUGUUUCAAAUUGUUCCGUUGAUCAACAUAUAUAUAAAGCUAGCACGAUCAACAUAUAUUUUCGAACCCAUUAAUGGUUUAUCAAUCGUGCUAUUUGGUUAUGGUCACAAGAGCAAUAAAUUAAAAUAAAAACAACAUAUUUUUAUGAACUUUCAAUUAUGAAAAUACAUAAAUUUAUAAAAGAGGUAAGUUAUUUAAAAAGUUUAUAUAUAUAUUUCUUAAUUAUCUCUCAACCUCAAACCUCAUUUACUUUCUUUCUAGUUUUCAUAUCCCAAUGACUUGUUCACAUUCAAUAAUUAGCGUUUGCAAGUGAACAAAUUAAAGAAAUAAAUUACAAGUCAAGAAACCAGCGAAUAAGUUUCGAAGAACACAAAACAUUUUGGUGAUUUAUUAAACAGUCAAGAACUACGGCUAGACGUCUGUGUACAACUGUUUGACACGUAAAAUGUUAGAGUGUAAGGUGGAAGGAGCCCUAGCUUGCCUGCAAGAGUGGACUUUGAGGAGACUUCUAGGCAACUACAACACCAUGUGGGGGGUGAUAAAUGAAUGAAUCAAAAUUGGAUCGUGAAAGCUAUCUUCUAAGGUCAAAUUUGGACCAAUAAAGAAAGAAAUGGGGAUUUGGUAAGUUUCGUGGAGAGUGGUGAAGGUAGGGGCUAAUUUCAUUGGACAGUCUAGGAAACCUUUGUUGACUUUCCGUGCAAAUUAGCCUCCCUUUCUUUCUUUUUUUAUUUUUUCUUUGACAUCUUGUCAUGUUCACGUGGAUAAUUGAAGGUCGAGCAUGGCGGGUCGCAACCGUACCUCAUCAAUCCAUCCACCGUACAUGGAAGGAUCUUUCACUCUUCUUAACUUUACCAACCGUUCAUGUGAACCUAGCUACGAGCAUAUGACUUGCAAGAGUGAUUUGUGAUUUGCACAGAAAAUAACUUUUUGGAAUUUCUUUAUAUAUAUAUAUAUGAGAUUGUGAUCUUCGAUUACCCUUUGCACAGCUUUCAGGAAGAUGAAAAGAAUAAAGGAUUGAGAAAAUACGUUCAACUAUCAAUAGUUAAUUUGUGCCCUUACUAUUCUCAUCAUAAAUGCGAGUUGGACUAAACAGUUUGCUAUAAUUAAGAUCAUGGACCUCAUGGCCCCACAUCAAGUAUUAGAUUUGAAAAUGGAUUUGUUUUUUUUUUCUUUCUUUCUUUCUCAUGAAAGAUUUAAGCAUGAUGUCCUUAACAGAGAUCUUACAAAAAAAUAACUUGUUCAUGCAUCUCAAAGAGAAAGAUCAUUCAUCCAAGUAAUGUGGUGGAUAUAAAUAAAUUGCCACGUGUAACUAGUUUAUAUAAACCAAAUCAAUAACAUUUAUUUCUGAAGAUUCAUGAAUCAAAUCAAUCAUGUUAUGAUAACGUGAACACCAAUAUUAUUAGGAUGCCCAUAGAUAGUUUGGAUCCACCUAAAUCUAGUUGUUGUAUUGAAUAUUGUUUUUCUAGAAGAAAAACUGACAUUGAUGCAUUCAAAAACUAAAGAUUAUAGCACAAUAACGAGGAUUGCAAAUGUAAUUCAUGAAUUCACAAUUUAUUUUUAAAAAGUUAUUUUUAAGAGGUUUAUAAAUCCCUUAAAUAUAUCAAAAAACUCUACCAUACUAUAAAACAACUGAAAAUCUUUAAAAAAAAAGGAAAUAAAAUAUAAAUCCAAAAACACAUAAAAAAUAACAAAAUUAGCCCAAAUAAAAGUAUCUAAACUUAAAAAUUUAAUUUCAAAAGAUCCAACAAUCUAAUCAACGAUGCUGUGGUUGCAUAUUAGAAAAACACUCAUAGGAUUACAUGGAAAAAUUUAAAACUAAUCCAACAACUAAAUUUUUUGCUAUUAUAAUUUUUAAGUAGUAAUAUAAUUUAAUGCAACCAGAUCUUUUAUUAGAUUUAAACAAGUUUUGGUAGUCUAUAAAAACACAAUAUAAACUAUCUAUAAAAUAUAUUUGUGUCAAAUCCUCAUUUAAUGGUGUGGGAUCCUCCCUUGCAUACUCCAAACUUUUGUUUCAACAAGCAUAGCUACGUACAUCAUAAAAUAAGCUUUAAUUAGUAUUUUAUGAAAGUUAAAGGUUAAACAAAUCUCUCAGACGGAUCAAGAGGCAUAUAUGAACUUCAUUGUAAUUUUUAAUGCUUCAUCUAGCAAAGAGACCAUGGAUGCAUGCAAGAGUUAAACUUAAUUUUCAAGCAAAUAUCAACGGUGGUAGAGGAGAAGGCUCAUUGAUGUAUGAUGUCGUUGAAACAUUUUAUUGCUUUUUUUUUUUUUCUUAUGGGGCAAUAUGCAGGCCUUCUCAAAAGAUCCGUCGAUGCCAUACUGCACGCAUUGACAGUCCAUACCAAUUGGAUUUGAAGGACUAAUUGAUAUAAAGCUUAAGGCAUUGGUUUGAUUCCCAACUGGACGGCCCAAUUCCUUCACUAAAUAAGUUGGCCCAAAACAAAAGGCCAACUUAUUGGUUUGGGCCUUUGGGUUUAAAAUUUAAAGCAUCUCUGUUGAUGUAUUUAAGGUACACGUGUAUCUUAACAGAGUUCUCACUCAUAUGAUCUACGUUGUCGUAUUAAGUGCCUAGUCUGAAUGGUUAAAUCCCAAUCAAUAUCUGGUCGGAUGACGUGUAUCCUCCUUUAUAACAAAUACAUACAAAGUUUUAAAUGGAGUUUGGUUAAAAUUUUAAUUUUUUUUAUUUUCUUAUAUCAAAAAUAUUUUUUAAAAAUAAAAAAUAUUAUUUUAAUAUAUUUUUAAAUAAAAAAAAUUAUAAAAACAUUAUAACUUCUUUAGUCAUUGAAACGUCUCGUAACUUAUCAAGAGGCUUGUUUUACAGAUUCUGAGUUUUUACACACAACCCAACACACUGAAAUAUCAACCACCUCACCUACAACUUGAGAGCUCGUAUGCCUGGUUGGAUUGAGAACAUCAUCUUCCAGCAGUAGGAUUCAUUAAAAUAUAGAUAUACCAUCAUGGUAAGAAUCAAAUAGAGAAAGCAAUAAUUAUAUAGUAGAUAAUCUAGUAGUAAAAACAUAAAAUUAAAAUGUUUGUUUUUUUUAUAGUUUUAAUUUUGAAUUUUAAAAUUAUUAAUAUUGAUUAUCACUGAAAAAUUAUGUAGUCGUUAAUUUUAGGAUCGUGAGGAUUAGUUAAUAUAUGCACAAACUGGCUUGUACACUUUCCAUGAAUAAAUAAAAAAUAAAAAAUAAAAAUAGCCGAAGCAAAACUUGAAACAAAAAGCUCACAACAUGGAUGGAUUUUACAUGUGAUUUUCCCAGUUUCCACCACGUUUUAGUUCUUACUGAUCGAAAAGAGAAACAAAAAAAAAAAAAAAAAGAGGAGGAGGAUGAAUGCUUGUCCUGACCAAGCACACUACAUAUUUAAAGCUCUUUUUUUUUUUCCUUUUUUUAACCCUGCGGUUUUGGAUGACGAACUCGAUGUUUUUGUUAAUGGUUCGCUCAUGAAAACAACAUUUUUUCCCCUUCGUACGUUUGCCAUCUUGAGAGACAAUACAAUUCUUGCACUCAACAAGUGGUCUUCGCUUACUGAAGCUAGCUAGCUUGCCAUAUCGCAUGAUCAUUGCUUGAACAUGUGAGUUGAAAUUAAUGGACUUGCUUGCAGGCAACAAUUUAAUUAGCUUCAUAAUGGCUAUGCUCAGUCAUGCAUUAAUUAAUGAAGGAGUUGGUCCCUUUUUCCUUAUUUAUUUUAUGGGGUAUUGUUAAAUUAUUGACAUGUCUCAUAUUUAUGUAUUAUGCACACACGGUAAGAAUCGGACAAUAACAAUGAAUUAAAUAUCAAAGGUUUUAUAGCUUAUUAUAAUUAUCAUGUGAAAUUUGAUAAUUAUAAUAAAUAUCAAAUACAUAAGAGAUAACAUCAAAGGUUUUCUAGCUUAUUCCGAUGUUUUUUUUUUACAUAGAAGAUAUCUUGAAAUUCAAGAUUAAUUCAUGAUAUCAAACUCAAGGAAAUAUAAAAAGAAAACCACACACCAUUGUCGUCACUUGAUUCAAGCCACAGACUCGUAAAUGGAAGCAAAGUGUCGCGUGUUAAGGCAACCAAAUUGCAUGCUUAGCUGAGAUGUCAGCUUCUCUCUUGUAACGCCACCCAGCAUUAUGCUUCGUCACGAUACCCACGCUCUCUUUUAUCCCAUGACCUACACGUCAUACAGCAUCCCAACUUCAUCAUGCCCUUAAUCACCGUUCAUCUCACGAUCAACGGCUAAGAUGGAUUGUGAAAAACCAUCCAGUAAGGUAUGGAUCCCUUAUUAUAUGCUUUAUUUUAGCUUGUUUUGAGCCCCUUCAAUGAGGGCAAAGACGAGAAUAUCGUGCGUUUGGAACGUGGAUUCCUAGAUGGUUUAAGGGCAAUUUUGGUCCUUGAAGCUAACCAACUCUCACAAAUUGACCCCCAUUUUUCCAGAUAGAUACAGAAAAGUCCUUGGACUUUGAGUUUAGAAUUAUAGGCAUCCCUUCAUUGCAGUCCAUCCAUGUUAAAAGUCUUUUGAAUUUUCUUCGACUUUGUUUAAUCAUGUAAAACCCUGUCAAAGAUGCGGAUAAUAGUCAUAAAAAUCGGUAUUACUUAGACGGAAGCAAUGACAUUUAGGGUCUGAAUCACCAGAUAGUGGCUGCAAGAAAAAAAAAUUGUUUUUUUAUUAAUGCACUGGUUCAACUAUGAAAGAUUUAUGAAAUAUUUAAUUAAAGUCCAACUCUUUAGUUUGAAAGUAUUUUUAUAAAAUUUGAAAUUUAUUUUACUUUAAAUUAAUUUAUUUUAGAUAUUUCUAAAUCCUUUUGAUAUAUUGAUGUCAAAAAUAAUUUUUUAAAAUAAAAUUCUUAUUUUAAUGCAUUUUCAGAUAAAAAUUAUUUUAAAAAACAACUAUUAUUAUAAUACCAAACAAAUUCUUAAUCUUAAUAUAUGAAAAUUGAUUUUAUUAUACUUUUAUUACGAAACCAAAUAGAAAAUGGAAGGUAAUGCUGCAAUAACACUAUAAAAACUAAUUUAAAACUUUUUCUUUUCUUAUGUUGCAUAGGAGAAUCUAUAAUUUUUUUUUUUAAAAAAGAUAAUAAUAUAUAUUCAAACAUGGCUAUUUUUCAGCUUCACAAUGCAAUUAGUGUAAAAUAUAGAAAAAUAUAAGAACUAAUCUUAAUGAUAAAUAUAUUCAAGAUUUUUACACUAAAUUUAGUAACUUAAUUUGGAGAUCUUGUAGUCCUUUAAAUUUGCUGUUGGAGUGGCUACUGAGUCAAACUUGUAAAAUUGGCUCAUAACUAAUCAAUUAAUAAGAAAUUACUAGCUUAUAAAAACAUAACAAACGUGAAUUGAUUAUACUAAAUAUUUAUACUAUAUAAUUAGCCUUAUUAUAUUAUAAUCUUUAUUAGUGGACCAAUCAUAAGCUUAAAACAAGAAAACAAAAAUAACAUAAGGAGUACUGCAGCAAGCAUACUCAACAAUUCCUCUCAUUGUUCUGGGAUAGAAAGUUUAAGGACUUAAGAUAAACUUGCUCAUAACAAAAGGAUUAGAAUGUAAUAAAACCAAAUUACAAAGACCAAAAAGGGUUCAGCAGUCAGACCAUUCCAAAAUCAAUGGUUAAAGCCUAUAGAAUCUACACAUUCAACAGCCAAGAUUAAGCCUUACACUUCGAAAGAUACCAAGUAGCUUAGCUGGGCCCUUGUGAGUCUAAGAAGUUGACAGGUCAGUUCUCUCCUUGUUUCUAUAUAUUCUCCUCUCUGCUCCUGUUCGGUCACUGUGACACACACUAUCUCUCCUUUUUCUCUUUGGCUUUUCAAAAUCGGUGAGCAUCUUUAAUUUUUUUUCUUUAUAACCCAUUUUUAUUAAUGUGUUUUUGUGAUUAUUUUUUGUAAAAAGUUAGUUUCUUUUUCUGCGGUUGUUGUUAAUUUUUAACCUUUUUCUUUGUUUUGAUUAACUUUUUUUUGUGAGUUUGAUUAAUGCUGGUUGGAAUUUGGAUUAUGCUGUUAAAUUAGAGUUAGUUUGAGUCAGUUUGUUUCUCCUUUUGUGUACUGAAGUUGGUUUCAGUAAAGUUUCUUUCUUUGUUUUGGAAUGAAGAGCUAGGUGCUAAUUAUUUUCUGCUUUGGUGUGGUUGAGGCUUGAAUAGACAUAAAGGGUUUGGAAGUUUUGAUCCUUUACUUUAUUAGUUUUGUAGAAGUGUAAAGAUUGAAUAAAGAAUCGAGCUUUACUUGAGCCAAGAUCAUGCAGUGGAGAACUGCUUGUUUCUGAGUGCAAUUUCAUGACUUUAUGUUAGACUUUUGAUUCAUGAUUAUUGAACUUGAUAUUAGCCUUUUUCUUGAUGUUGCAUGUUAAUCAUUUUGGAUUAAUGUGAUUGAUCAUAUUGGUUAUUGUGUUUUCUGAAUUGGACUUUUUUUAAAAAAAACAAUUUGUUAAUGUGAAUUUACAGGUGUAAAAAUGGGAGUGAACUUGAAAGCAAUUGGGGGGUUUGUGCUUCUUUCAUUUUUGUUGUUUGCUGUGGUAUUAUCCGAGUCAAAUGAUGGUUUGCUUAAAAUUGGAUUAAAGAAGGUGAAAUUUGAUAAGAACAACCGAAUUGCUGCACGGCUUGAUUCCCAAGAGGCUUUGAGAGCUUCUAUUAGGAAGUAUAAUCUCCUUGGUAAUCUUGGAGAAUCUGAGGAUACUGAUAUUGUUGCUUUAAAGAACUAUUUUGAUGCUCAGUACUAUGGUGAGAUUGGUGUUGGGACUCCUCCUCAGAAAUUCACAGUGAUUUUUGACACUGGUAGCUCCAAUUUGUGGGUGCCAUCAUCUAAGUGCUAUUUGUCGGUGAGUUUAUGCAUGCAUUAUUUUUUUAUGUUCGUUAUAUAUGCGUAUCAAAUAGAUUAAUGGUUUCACUUUGCUAUGCAGGUUGCAUGUUACUUCCAUUCCAAGUACAACUCUGGAAAGUCGAGUUCCUACAAGAAGAAUGGUUUGGUUCCUUGCUAACAAAGAAUUUAUUAAUUUUUUUUUUUUUUGCUGUUUGUUCUAUAAGAAGAAAUUUUAUCUUGUUAAUUUGUAUGUGGUGCAUUGAAGUUUUAUCAAGAAUGUUUAGGUCCGUAGGAAAUAUGGAAAUGCUGCAUGUUAAUUACUUAGGUAUGUGGUUGUCAUGAUGAGCUACUAUGUGUAUACAUGCUAACAUUAGCUAGGAACCAAGGAUGCGAUGCUAUCAUUAUAAUUCUAGGAACUAGGGAUGCUAUCAUUAUAAUCCUAGGAACUAGGGAUGCUAUCAUUAUAAUCCUAGGAACUAGGGAUGCGAUGCUAUCAUUAUAAUUCUAGGAACUAUGGAUGCUAUCAUUAUAAUCCUAGGAACUAGGGAUGCCAUCAUUGUAAUCCUUAACCAUACAAUGCAGCACUUGCUACAAUUUUUUAGUCUAAAUCGCUUGUCAUUCUGCAGUUGCAUGAGCUGUUUGGCUGGGAAACUAUCAUUUGGGGUGAUUACUGUUUUUUUUUUUUUUAAACUGAGUCUAUUAUGAUGAAUUUUGCAGGAAAAAGUGCUGAAAUUCAGUAUGGCAGUGGAUCCAUUUCUGGUUUCUUCAGUAUUGAUGCUGUCGAAGUUGGUAACCUGGUUGUGAAAGAUCAGGUAAUGUUGUGCCUUGCAACUUAUUUGCAUGUUAUUACAUGGUGUGAUAUGUCUGUUCUCACUCCUGUUUUUGAAUUUUAAGGAAUUUAUCGAGGCAACUAAGGAGCCUAGUAUCACAUUUUUGGUGGGCAAGUUUGAUGGUAUUUUGGGACUUGGGUUCAAAGAAAUUGCAGUAGGAGGUGCUGUUCCAGUCUGGUACUUGUCUUAUCUCUUAGUUCUCACUGAUCAUCUAAACCUUUUUUAUGGUUUGUGUUUGAGCUGACAUAUUGCAUUUUGAACAGGGACAACAUGAUUAAACAGGGUCUCAUCAAGGAACCGGUAUUUUCUUUUUGGCUUAACCGCAAUGCGGAUGAUGAAGAAGGGGGAGAAAUUGUAUUUGGUGGGAUGGACCCAAAUCAUUACAAGGGCAAGCACACAUAUGUUCCUGUGACGCAGAAAGGCUAUUGGCAGGUUGUUGGCUGUAACCUUUUCUUUUCUUGGAGUUCUAAAUAUAUCUCAUCUGUAUUUUUCAAUUAUUUUUCUCAUUUUGUUGUAUCAUAGUUCAACAUGGGUGAUGUCAUUGUUGGUGAUAAAUCAACCGGUAUGUUCUCUCUCAGUACCUGCACUUUUUAUAUAGAAACUCACAUAUACCAGGAGGGCAAAGCUCUGUUAAUAAGAUAUAUUAUAUAUAUCUACAGCUACAAUUAUCCUUUUGUCGCUAUAUAUAUGUACUCUCUUGCAUAUGAUUUAUACUACCUCUCAUUAUAUGGUCUGAUUACCUAAGGAUACUGCUAUUCAGGGUAUUGUGCUGGUGGUUGUGCUGCAAUUGCAGAUUCUGGAACUUCCUUGUUGGCAGGUCCAACGGUAUGAGCAGUACUUCAGCUUGUUGGAUGUGUACUUGUUGAUAUCUUAUUCAGUACAAUUUGAUAGCUAACUGUUUAACUAUCCUAUUUUUUGCCAUUGGGUUGAAGUUAUGUUGAUUGCCUAGAACAGAAUGGAUGAAAAUGUAAAGCUAUUACUGUUUUUUACCCUGUUGGUUUGUAGAUUUAAAGAUGAGUUCAUUCUCUAGUGUUUUCUUGCCCCUGCUCUGGAUAUAACUUCUGAUAUGGAUUCUGACUUUGAAUUGUUCUUUCAUAUGGUGGCUUUUAAUGUGAUUUUUUUGUAAUUUUUUUAAUGUACCUAGAAUAUCUUGACAAUGUUCAUUUUUGUCAUUUGACCUAGCAGUCUAAUAGGCAUCUAAGACUCUAAAGUUGGGGCAUAGACUUUGAAAAUAAUAAAUUUUGAUACAAAGCAUUUAUAGGAAAAAUGAGAAUCUUCUAUGAUGGAGGUCCAUGAUUCUGUUGUCAAUUUUCUUGUGCAUAAAAUAUUUCGGUGGUCUCUGCUAUUUUUUUCAGGCUAUAAUUACCAUGAUAAAUCAUGCCAUUGGAGCCUCUGGAGUGGUUAGCCAGCAAUGCAAGGCUGUAGUUUCGCAGUAUGGGGAAGUCAUUAUGGAUUUGCUACUGUCCGAGGUGAUAAUGGCCUUACUUGUAUUUCAGAUGUUUGAUUUCUGAAACCCUGGCUGAUAAAAAUCUUAUGUGAGAAAAUGGGUGUAGUCAGCAUCUAUUUAUGGAUAUGUUUGUGUUCCUUCCUAUGUAUUUACAGGUACAGCCAAAGAAGAUAUGCUCUCAAAUUGGACUCUGCACAUUUGAUGGAACCCGUGGCAUAAGGUUGGGCUCUAAAGAUGUUCUCUUCUUAUGCUUAUGCUUUCACAGUUUUACUGGGAGGCAUAACUUUUUCUCCUGGAUAAUACCCCCUUCUACUGCUAAUUUUUUUUUAAUAAGUAGAAGAAAAUUCAUGAAAGUAAACCCAAUUUCAUGGAAGCGAAUUGUUGCCUCCAUGCAUGUUGCUGCUUUUGUUACUAGAAAGGUUUACUGUGUGUUGUGAAUAGGCAGUUAACUUAGAGGUUUGUGAUUUUGCUUAGCAUGGGCAUUCAGAGUGUGGUGGACAAGGGCAUUGACAAGUCAUCUGGUGUUCUUGGUGAUGCUACGUGCUCUGCUUGUGAAAUGGCAGUUUUCUGGAUGCGAAGCCAGCUUCAGCAGAACCAGACACAAGAUCGUGUAUUGGACUAUGCCAAUCAGGUGAAUUAAAUGAAUUUGUACUUUAUCUAUUAACCACUGCAAAAAAUUAUUGAACUUCAUCAAUCAGUGUGAUACAUGCAUUGUUCCCUAAUAAUUGUUUGGGCCUUGUGGAUGUGCUUCUCUUGCUGAUACCUGUGAUAAUUUCACAGCUCUGUGAACGUGUUCCAAACCCGACAGGACAAUCAGCUGUUGACUGUGGAAGUGUUCUUUCAAUGCCUACAAUUGCCUUCACCAUUGGAGGCAAAGAGUUUGAGCUUGCCCCAGAGGAGGUAUGUCAGCUGAACCCAGUAUUACCGUUCAUGCUAUCAAGGGAUGUUUCCCUUUUUUUUCCUAUUUCCUUGAAAUUAUGCAUUUUUAACUGAUUUUGAAAUACACAAGUUGGUGAAAUGCAACCAUCUAUUAUCUAUUCAUCUUAAUAAUGAGGUAUCACUGAUUGCAAAAUUGUGAUGUUUUGAUUCAUUGUUGCGAACAUUCUUCUAAGGAUUGCCACUUGUGCUAGGAUGAUAGUCUUUAUGGACAUUUUAACAGGACUGUAUUAAUGUAAUUAUAUUUGGAUGGAUAUCUAUAGUAUAUAAGUUUAUAUUUAGUAGUAACGGCUUAUUGUCCAACAAAGGCCUCAGGUAGAAUUUGGAUACAGCCCACCUUUCCUCCAUAGGAGCAUGAAGUGCUCCUAUUGAAUAUGCAACACAACUUACUAUUACAUGAAUCAAUGCCCCUCAAAUGUGCUAAAUAUAUCAAACGUGUAUAUUAAUUCGUAGAACUGAUGCCUCUUUCCUGCUUCAUGAUCAGUACAUUCUCAAGGUUGGCCAAGGUUCAGCAGCCCAGUGCAUCAGUGGCUUUACUGCUUUGGAUAUACCUCCUCCUCGUGGACCUCUUUGGUAUAUUAUUUUCUUAUCUAACCUUAAGGAUUCUAGAACUAGUUUUGCUUGCUUUAUUACCUAUCCAUGCUCAUAGAUUGUCAUAAUGUUCCUUUAAAUCUCACUUAUUGAUCUUUCACAAUCCAGGAUACUGGGAGAUGUUUUCAUGGGACGCUACCAUACUGUCUUUGAUUCUGGAAAGCUUAGAGUUGGAUUUGCCGAGGCAGCGUAAAGGAUUUGUCUUUGGGGUUCUUGUCUCACAUCCUUCCCCUUUAUCAACUAAUAUGUAAUGUAGGGAGUCACUGGCGAAUAUGAAAGUGCUGGCCGCAGCUUUAAAUAAGUAGUUUUUCUUGUAGAUAUUCGCUUCCUUCCUUCCUUCUUUCAGUUUAGUAGCAGAGAUUGAUGCAGUAGAAAGUGACAUGAAGUGAAUGUGGGUUUGAGUUCCGUAUGCCUUCCACCCCACCCCCCAAAUCCAUGCAGUUAUCUGAACUCUUGUCCAGGUUAUUUCAUAAUCUAUCCUAAGCAUACAGGGCAAGGAAUAAAUGGCCUUACACAGCGAGGUUAAAUUUAAAUCGAUAUAUUUCCAGCAGGCUCAUGUUAAUGACUAAUCCUUUUCUGGCAUAAUUAUAAUAUCUUAGAUUUACAGGUCCAUUGAUUCGGAAAGUUUUACUCUGUUCAGGUUUAGGUUGGUAUCAGACUGUGGCUUCCAGUCUUCGUUCUAAUAAUCUUUCUAGUUUUUCAUCACGAGGGCAAUUGUUUCUAUUUUUUAUUUUAUUCUUGUUUUCCUAGUUUCACCAGAGAUGUUAAAAGGCAUAAAGCAUGAAUAUAGCUUUGUGGGGGCGUGGAAAGUGAGUCUAGUUUAUGGGAAAUGCCACUCCAUUACUGAUAAUAGCUCCACUCAAUAAUGGCAUUGCAAGAACUUAAAAUGGAACAAUCCACUUGAGAGCUGUCACAACCAUCUGCAUUACAUGUUGAUUCGGUAUUAAGAAAGGGUUUGGUUUAUGUUCAAUUUGCCUGUGUUUGGUGAAUAGUUGUCGGACCAUGUCUAGGCUAGACCGAUUUGAAAAAGGGUUUGGGUUAAUGGGUUAUUACGGGUUAUUCAUUUAAGCUUGACUGGGUUAAUAUCAAUUUUGGUUGAGCUUCGAGUUAUGAGUUUUCCAGGUCAAAUAACGGGCUGGAUUUGAUUUAAUAACUAUGAAUUUGGUUCAAUAACUAUGGUUUGGUGUGGAGACAGCAUGUUUUUGGUGUGUAUAGAACUAUCAGCUGGAUUCUUGUCCUAUGUCCGAUCUCUUCCACCAUCAAGAUUCGAGUCUUGCUCGCUAAACAUGUCACAAGAAUUUCCAUGUAUUCGAGUGUUGUUUGCUCACCAAACACGUCUCAUGAACUUCUAUAUAGAACAGGGAUGAGCUCGCGUGUCCUUCAAUGCUCUUCCUGGCUUGCCGCUCCCAAUCAAGCAAAUCAUGCCACGUUUCAUUUAAACAUAUUGUCUGGUCACCAAACCACUCAGUGUCCGCACGCGUGCUGCCUCCCCAACUGCCAGUUCUGAUGGUCCUUUUCUUGGUGGUUAAGCACGAAAGAAGUUGGCAGGUGAGGGUGAAAGUGAGGUAAAAAGACAAGACAGGCAUGCAAAAUAUGUUUCUUAACAGUAGAAAGCACUUCGUGUAGUUAUCGGACAGUCCAAGAACGAAGACUAAGAUCACUCUGUCAAAGAAACCACACUCCCUUGCUAUGGUCAAUUAUUGGUAGAAUCUUUUUUUGUUUUUUGUUUUUUUGAUGAUGCAUGUUUAGUUUAAUGAUCAAAGGUAAUUGCUCUACCAGAUCUGGACAAAUACAUGUAUAUUCAAUUCCUCGGUCAAUGGUUGCUAUGGCUAAAAGGCAAUGGCACAACCCAACAACGGACAACAGGCAUUGAUGUAACUCUUGAUUUUUGUAAUGAAAAACCUGAAAGCAUAAAAAAUGUCAUCCACUCCUGGAAGGGCAGGUACGUAGCAACAUGGUAGGUGAAUGUCGCCAUGGUUUUCAGUACCUUACAGCACGUUUUCUGAAUUUGAUUAAUUUAAUUUAUAAAAGUAAAUUAAAUUCGAGUUAACCCAUCUUAUCUUCUCCGGUGAUUGUUGAGGCCUGCGAUACCUUCAUGUCAUAAUACACAGAAUAUAUCUAAACAGCUCAGACAAUUAGCUUUUUGUUUCAUCUCCUAGCAAGAAUUUUAUUCUUUUGCUAGCUUUUUCUCACCUUUUUUCCCCCCCGCCAAAAAGCAUGGAAUGAUACCAAGACAGCCGCCGGCUGUCCUUGUCAGCACAUAGAAAUUGCACCUGUGAUCUUUGCUAUUACCGGUGGUUGCUCUCUCGACAACUAUCACUCUGGCGCCAGCCAGCCCCUCUUAAUCCCCUCUAGUUUUUUUCUGUUAUAAUCUUGUAAUAUACGCCUCAUCCAUUUCUUUUCCAAUAAAAAUACUUGUGAUAGUAACAAGUAUUAGAGAUACAUUAAAUUAAUCAUAUCGAUAAGAUAUAUCAUCAAUACUAGUUAAACUAUUAGAUUUAAACUCGUCGAGUUUCUUUUCAAAAUCUAAUUCAAUUCAAGAUUUUAAUAAUAUCAACUCACCCUCACCAUUAAUCUAGGAAAUAAAUCCUAGUAAGAGUUUAUACAUUUAUGCAUAAAAUGCAUAUGAUGGGUGAAAAUCACACGAAAAUGUUUUCCUUGCAUGUGAAGGAAAGCAAUCAAAAUCUAACUUUGUGAGUUGCAAGUAUGAAUGGCAUCAUCCUGAACAGCUACAACAUCUCUUCAAGAGGCUCGAAUGUAUCCUUGCUGUGUAAGGAUCUUUCACUCCACUUUAUGAAACUUUAAUUUACAGUACCCAUUAUCCAUUCAUCAGAGCUAAUUAAAAUGAAGAGUUUGAUCUUUACUUUGAGAAGAACACGUACGUUACACACAUGCACAGACAACUCAUGGGUCCCAAACCCUUUACCGAAAGCCAAAGUAUAAGAGCUGAAAGGGAGAGAUAUAGUGAAGCCAAGGGAUUGGUGGUUGGCACAUGAAGAAAGCAACUUAAUUGUUUGUGUUCCUUGGAAGGAACGUAUGAUGGAUACCAUAAGAGUGCACAAAGCAAGGACUCGUCCUCCUAAAAGUGAUCCCAUAAAGAGAAAAUAUCAUAGCCAAUCAACAGUUUAUAUAUAUUAAAAAGAUUUUAAUUUUGAGGAAUAUAGUUUAAUUGGUCAUGUUUUGAGUUUGUUUUUCAGAUAUCACCAGUUCGAGUGACACAAACCUCUCAAAGUUACUGGAGACUUACCUGAUCGUUAAUUUCAGAGUCUUGAAAAAUUAAUCGAGAUGCGCGUAAAUUAACCCGAAUACCUACAAUUACUAAAAAAAAUAAAAAACUAAAAAGAAAAGAAAAAGACCCCGUCAAGAGCAAAUACCAUAACCAGCUAAUCAAUAAUUAAUAAAUUGUUCUAAUAUGUUCAUAUAUACUAAGAGAAAAUUAGGGUUUGAGAGAAUACAAAUAUAAUUAAUUUGUGUGAUUUUUGGUAUGGUCCGGAAUUCAAUUUGAAUACUACAAAAAAUUCUUAAUCUAACCAUAAUGUUUUCUCAAUCUUAUUCAAAUUAUAGUGAUCAAAACCAUUUUUUUUGUUAAAAAAAAAAACUUCACAUUUUAAUAUGAGAAACAUCCAUUAAACUCAAAUCAAUACCAUUAUCAUCGAGAAUCAUUAAUUUUCAACAGCAACAAUUUUGAUCCAAUAACAGCUCCCUUCCAUGCUCACUAUCUUUGCUCAUAAAUGAUUGCUAGCUGGAAGAAUAUUCCUUGACCAAAUUAAUUAGCAUUGGAUCCAUGAACGUGGAGAGAGUCAUUGCAAAAUAAAACCCUAAUUAUAUUGACUUUUACUGCAAAUUAAUUAUGACACUCCAACUUAUAAUUAAUAUUUAUCUCGCUAGGUUCAAGGUAUCAAUAACAUGACAUUAUUGGGGGUUUACCUUCUCAUUGUCUAUUACCACUAGCUAGAGAGGCUUCAAUUUCAAAUUAGUCAAUAAUUAACAAUGGAGAUUAAGCUUAAAUCCACUGAUCUAUCCAACCACCUCUUAUCGACCAAUCAACCUCUCUAAAGAAUAGAAUAUCCCGUGCAUUUGUGCCAUAUCCAUUGUAUGAUCCCACACUCUUUCACAUAGAUGAAAUUACCACAAAUCAUGCACGUUCUCACGUGGUGUCUCGUGAACAAAGCAUAAUGCGUAGCUAAGCUAAGCUAAGCACAGCGUCAGGAUUAAGCAAUUGGCGUUCAAAAGCCGGCCAAAGCUUGCCACCCACCCGCUUCUCGACACGUGGAAGCGUCUUGUUUAGAGAGAGAGAGAUACGGCGGCCGCCCAUUGGCCACAAAAUAAAUAUGCUAAAAUAAAGUUUAAUGAAGAAAGCAAUGUUUCUUGCAUUAAAGCCAAACGUACAAACCAAACGCAUAAACUAAUGUUUGCAUAUGUGCUGUGUGUGUGUGUAUAUAUAUAUAGAAUAUAACUACCAAUGCAAACAAUUCAGCGAGCAUAAUACACAUUCUUUAAAUCUUGUCACACCCCCCACCUUUCUCUCCAAAAUGAACUGGACUAGAGGCCAAAUCAUUGGCCAUGGCUCCUCGGCCACCGUCUCGAUGGCCAAGGCCAACCGGUCCGGUCAAGUCUUUGCGGUUAAGUCAGCUGAGCUAUUGAAGUCAGAGUCUCUUCAAAGAGAGCAAGGUAUUCUUUCAACAUUGAAGUGUCCACAAAUUGUGGUGUACAAGGGGUGUGACAUUACCAACGAGAAUGGUAAGUUGUUCUAUAAUCUUUUCUUGGAGUACAUAUCCGGUGGCACGCUUAUCGAUGCAAUUCGGGAGGGUGGAGGCUGUCUCGAAGAGGCUAUGAUCAGAUUGUAUGCCCGGACGAUUUUGCUUGGCCUUGAGUACCUUCAUUGUAAUGGUAUAGUGCAUUGUGACAUCAAGAGUCAUAAUAUUUUGGUCACCGGUGAUGGAGCAAAAAUUGCUGACUUGGGUUGUGCCAAGCGCGUUGAUGAGUUGUCGGGGGAUAUUGAUUUGAAAACGACAGCGCCAAUUGCAGGCACUCCGCUUUACAUGGCACCUGAGGUGGCGCGUGGGGAGCACCAAGGGUUCCCUGCUGAUAUCUGGUCUGUCGGGUGCACCGUCGUUGAGAUGGCUACCGGACAAGCUCCAUGGGUGAAUGUCUCAGACCCAGUUUCAGCCCUUUACCAAAUUGGAUUUUCAGGUAACGUACCAGAGAUUCCAAGCUUCAUGUCUAAGCAAGCCAAGGACUUUUUGAGCAAGUGCCUGAAGAUGGACCCAGGAGAAAGGUGGUCAGCCAGUGAACUGCUUAAACAUGAUUUCAUUACCGAGGAGCCAAACUCUGCUUUGAAGGAGAUUACUAGCAGCACAAAUGUGGACACUCCAACAUGUGUACUGGAUCAAGUCUUAUGGGACUCGAUAGAGGAGUUAGAGACAACUUGGGAUUUGUCCCAUGAAAGCCCUUCGGUCUCUCCAGUUGAAAGAAUCAAGCAAUUGACUGAAGGCAACGGAGAAGUGCCCAAUUGGUCAUGGGAUGAUACUUGGAUCACAGUAAGAAGCAACGAACAAGAAAUGGUUCCCUGUGGUGAGGAUUAUAGCUUAGCAUAUGCCAAUGGCCACAUCGGCCAUAGUAGGGCAGAGAUAGCUUGGGCUAGCGUGGAAUAUGACUCUGUCUUUUUUCUUGAUGAACUCACGUAUAUUAGUGGGAAUAACACUAGCAGUAGUGGCAGUUGUGGCGAUGGUAGCAGGCAUAAAAUAUUAUUGAUGCCUUGUGAAUGUAGAGAAGGUUCUUUAUGUGGCAGUUCAAUUUUUUUGAAGGAAAUAAACUUCGGUUUUCUACAUGGAACUGCUUGCACAUGGUUGUUUAAAAAUACAUAUUUCCUCAUAAAUCACAGUUGUUAAAUUAUUAUACCAAUAACAAAAAAAAAAUUAAAUAAUGUUGAUGUAAUGAAAAGGACAUUGACAUAGGCUAUUUCCAACUAAGAACUUAUUUAACCAAGUCCGAGUGAAUUGAAAUAGUUAAAUUGAUUAUACCAUUAAUUAUUGUAAAUUGAUUAGUGAUUAUUAUUGUAAAUUUUAAGCUAUCUCUUUCCCAUAAGCAAAUUGGAACACCAUUGACAUUUGUCACAGCCCACCAUGAAAAGCUAGCUAAUUAGCCCUUUUCAAUGCAUUAAUUCUCUUGUUUUUUCCCAGCUAUGAAGCUUCAUUUCCAAUUAGUACAGCGGUGUCAACACAGUUUUGUUAAAUUUUGAAUGUUUUUACUGUAAAUUAUUAAAAUAAAAUUUAAAAAGUAAAAAAAUAUUAUUUUAAUAUAUUUUUAAAUAAAAAUAUUUUAAAAAACAAUAUAAACAAUGAAGUUAUUUUUAGGUGUGUAGCACUUGGGAAUCAUAUUAAUUGACCAGUACCCUUGGAUGUCCAUCAUUCGAACAAAUAAAAUGCAUUGCUUGUAGAAGUCAUGCACCUUAUUGCCUGCCUAGUGAGAAUGACAAUGGCAAGUCAUUGAUUGAUUCUGUUCUUGAUUCCUAACUUUCCCUGCCUUAUUAUGCUCAUUUUGUUGAUGAUUUUGGUAAUGCGGUUUAAUUUGUUUUUUUUUUUAAAAUGCUUCUCAAAUUGAGGCCUGUAUUCUUCUUGUUCUUUGCUGCACCAAGCAUGGCAAGUUCAGCUAGAACUCCAUUUCUGGAGCUCUUUUUUUUUUAUCAAACCAUUUCUGGAGCUCUUGAUACUGCAUCAAAGAUGCUGUCCUUUCUCUCUGUGUUCCAAUUCAUGCCUCUGGUAAGCUACGUUCAAAACUAGGGCUGUGGCAAUACCAUAUUUGUUCUGUGCGAUGAAAAGUUUGCUUCAUAUCUAAUUAAUGAUUCUCUAUCUAAUUAAUCAAUUCUUAAAUCAUUGAGAAAAUUCAAGGUUGCGUUACACUCCUGGCAUCCGUUUCUGCUGAAUAUGCAAAGGAGGUUAAAGGUCCUAUAGCAUCAGCACAGAUGCUUGUUUUAUCUGCACUAUCGGUUCCAAUCUUCCUUGGAUUGAUGGUACUCGCCGUAAUCAACACUGAUAGGGAUCUCCGUGAAAACGAUCCUGCGCUCCAUUGUAAAUACUGAUAAUUUUUCCAGUAUUUCAAAAACAAUAACUGCAGGUUAAAUUAAUCACAGUUAAUUGUAAACACAAAUCAUAAUUACAGAUCAAAGUUCGAGUCUCACUUUUGUCAAUUCAUCACUGGCCUCAAAAAAGUUAGCCCGAUUCACCAGGACAAAUAUUCAGAAACAAGAGAAUAUCAGCAGUAUUUGUUCUCUUUAACAAAAAUCCAUGUUGGGGAAAAAACAUACCAGAAUUUCUGCUGACAAAAUACAUCCCUUCUUUUUCAGCGUCAAGCUCUACAUUUGAAUUGAACUUGACACAAAAUGAGAACCUAUUUUUACACUCCUUUUCUCUGCUUUUCAAUUUGUCGUUUUCUCCACACUUACAGGCUUGCAACAAUGCAUGGAUGGCAAUUAAACCCUAACUAUGAAACCCAUCAAGAAAAUCCCCAGUAAUAGUAUGAGAAACAAAAAAAAAGAAACUGAGGAUAAAAAGGUUAUUUGACAAGUGGGGCUCAGUUCUUCAAGUAUUCUUCUUGCUAGUUGAACGUGAAAAUCUCAAGUCCAGAGAUUGCAACUGGCUCCUUAGGUUCUGGUUCUCUUCAAGCAAACGAUCAUACUCAAGAAGGAACCCUUCAGAUUGCUUACUUAGAGCAACUGCAUUGGCUUCUGAUGUAUUUACCUCUUUUGUCUUGAUUUCCAAUUCAGAUUCCAGCUGCUUAAGUUUUUCUCGCAGCGUGGAUGCCUCUGCUUCUAAUGCUUUGGUCUCCUCAACCUUCCCAUCCUCAAAACUUCGAUUUUGUUUCUUUACAUCCUCCAUGGUCUUCCUCCUCACACGGAGUUCUCUAAUAUAAUGGUGCAGUCGGUCUAUCAUUAGUCCAAGAAAAAGGACAGAACCUGCACAAAGUUAUCUCAAGUUUAUACAAAUUGAAGUGCAAAAAAGGUCUCUAGAAACAAGGAAUUCUCAAAAGUAAAUUGCCUAGUCUAGAAGAUGCAAUAUUUCAAAGUACUCUUGCAUAUAUAUGAUUCAGGAUGUUCUAAGUUUGACAUCUCAAGGGAACCAUAGGUCUGCAGGGCAUGACACAUGCAUAGAAAGGUACGAUAUCAUUGCUUCACUAUCUAGAAGUACUAUAAUGAGAAACAAAUCACCAUGUAUUGCUCUUUAUUUAAAGUUUCCUAGUCACGGCAUUCUUCUUCUUCUUCUUCUUUUUGUAAAGGAAAAGCACAUUUGUUCCACCUUAUGGCAUUACUAUAGCAUCAAGGCAGAGUUCAAUCAUCUAUAACUGGAAAAGGCAGAGGAACAUGUGAAGACAUCAAGGCCAUUCAAGAUGAUUUCCCUCCAUCAACUGUCUUUAAGAGCUUGAUCACAGCAAUAAAGAAAGAAUCACUAAAUUGAAAGGCAUCGAUGCCAUUCAAAAUGAUUUUCCUCCAUCACAUAAGUGUCACAUGCUGUCUUUAAGAGCUUGAUCACAACAAUAAAGAAAGAAUCACUUAAUGGACACUCUCCUAAAAUCAUGAGCAAAGAGGUCCAAAUCCAAAGUCCUCCCUUGAUCUAACAGGGAAAAAAAUCACCAUGUAUUGCUCUUUAUUUAAAGUUUACUAGUCACGGCAUUCUUUUCUCUUUUUUUCUGGUAAAGGAAAAGCACAUUUUCCACCUUAUGGCAUUACUAUAGCAUCAAGGCAGAGUUCAACCAUCUAUAACUUGAAAAAGCAGAGGAACACGUGAAGACAUCGCUGCCAUUCAAAAUGAUUUUCCUCAUCAAAUAAGUGUCACAUGCUGUCUUUAAGAGCUUGAUCACAGCAGUAAAGAAAGAAUCACUUAAUGGAAAGACAUCAAUGCCAUUCAAAAUGAUUUUCCUCCAUCAAAUGAGUGUCACAUGCUGUCUUUUAGAGACUGACCACAACAAUAAAGAAAGAAUCACUCAAUGGACACUCUCCUAAAAUCAUGAGCAAAGAGGUCCAAAUCCAAAGUCCUCCCUUGAUCUAACAAGGAAAAACAAUAUUUGGACUCCAUUUGCUAAAGGUAAAUCAAAAUUCAGACAUUGGAGUUAUGCAACUCAAGAUAUUCGUUUCUUCCUCGGCACUAAUUGCUUGAUGGUUUAUCUUCCAUAAUGAUGGAGGAUACAAUGCUAUCUUUCUAAAUUAUAAAAAACCUAGCAAAUAAUAAAGAGGGUCGAAUCAAAUGCCUCAUUCAUCACAUCAAUCAACACGCAGGAUUUGAAGCAAAAAAAAAAAACCUCAAUUUCACAAUCAAAAUUCAAGAACAAAUCUCUAAUUUAGGUACAUUCUUCAGCAUUAUAUCAUUCUUCAGCGUUACAUCAUUCUUCAGCGCUAACAAUGGAUCUAAGAUAUCUCCAAUCCAAAAUGAAAUAGCAAUUUUUCCCAUCAAAUUAUGAGUAAAACAGAUAAAUUAUCAGCCCCACCAAACCAAUCACAAACAUAUCAACGAAAUCAAAUCAUCAGCACACAAUCCAAUCACAUUACAUUAACCCCACAAAGCUGAAAACUUUAACAAAACAUAAAACCAAAAUUAACUCAAGAAACCAAGAAUUGUUACCCAUAAGAGUAGCCUCCAGCAGAUGUUUACCCAGAAGAACCUGGUCUGUAGGAUUAACAGCACCACCAUCAUCGAUCCAACGUUUCUGGAUCUUCACCAUACUAUAAACACUUGACAUUAAAACCACAAACACUGUCCCUGCAACUGUCUUAACCAUGACUGGUCCCCGCCCUCUCUUGACUCGAUCCAAGCUCAUUAUCAACAACUUCCUUAAUGGAGUCUUGAAAACAAAUAACAAUAUCAUUGCCAUCUCUGAAAAUAUCACUGUAAACAAAAGCUGAAUCAUUUUUUAGAGUUCUUUUCUAGCAAAGGUUGAGUCUUUUGUGUUAAAUUUUGAAAAGAUUGAAUAUUUGGGUGUCCAGGGUCAAAUUUUUUUUUGGUUUGAGGUAUUUAUAGCAAUGAAGAUGAUGAUCAAAGGAAGGUUACAGAGAUCACGUAAAAGAAGAGGUUUUUAUUGAAUGGAAUGGAGAAAGAGAUGGUGGGUUUUCUAUUUCUUAGUAUUAAUGAGAAUAAUUUUGAAGUCUCCUUAGAAAUGUCUUUUCCCUUUUUGAUAUGUAAAGGUAGAAAUUUAUAUAGUCCUUGUAUCUUUUACAUUUAGUCAAAUUAAUCCUUUACUCUGAAUCGAGACAAAUAAAUCCUUCCAAUAUGAGAGUGUUUCAUUUUAGGGCUUGUACUUCUUAUUAUUAGAUUUAAGGUAUAAUAUUUCUAUGAUGAAAACAUUACGCAAAUAUCACAAGUAAAAAUAUAAAUUCAAGCCAUUAACACUUCAUAGUAAGGUCUUUUGAAUAAUAUUUAGUUAAAUCAACUUUUUUUUAGAUCAAAUUAAAUUAUUUAUUUUUAUUUAUCAAUAAUAAAAAUUCUCAAUAUAAAUCUACAUGCACAAUAUUUGCACAUUAAUGGCUAAAUGCUUUGAUAUACCUUUAUAUAUGCUUUGAUUCAAGCUCUAGUUCAAUUCUGAUAGAUGGGCAUUAAUAGAUCAAUUUAAUAUAAAUUGUAAACUUAAAGUAAGAGGAUCAAAUUGUCCAAAAUAUUUUAGAUAUGUGAUUUGACCAAAAUGUAAUUACAUGUUUUUUACUCAUAAGAAUUCCCCGUUGGAACAUGAAAAAACGAUUUGUCCUUUUUCCUUCACUAGAAUGGUUUCCUUCCUUUUAUUUUUUGCACCCCACUAUACUUCUUCAACGUUUCUUGCAUUUAACUUGUAAUCUAAGAAUUCAUUUUUUUUAGUGGGCAAAUUAAAUAUUUUUUUAGAGAACUGUUUGAUAUUUGUUUUCAAACUUAGUCUAGUAUAUUAGUUUUAAAAUCUUCGAACUCAACUUAUUAUCUUGAUUGAUUUAAAAUUAAAUUAUAUAAAAAUUAUAAUAAUAUAACCUAAUUAAUUUAAUAGGUCUUAAAAUAACUGGAAAGAUCAAUAAAAAAAAUAAUUUAAAAUAUCUAAGUUUAAAAAUUUUAUUUUUUAAAAUUAUUUUUUAUUUAAUUAUAAAAAUAAAUGUUUAUAAGACUAUGCUCAAAUUAAAUGUUAUAGUGUUUAUUUAAAAUUAUGAUAAUUUUAUAGAAAAUAAAUUGAAUUGUUAAAAUAAAUUUAAAAUUAAAUAAAUAUUAAAUGAUAAAAUUUUAAAAAAUAUAAAUAUAAAAAAAUAAAAAGCUAAAAAGGGAAGGCAACGCAAGAAAAAGGAACCACUUCCUUCACCGUGAAGGAAUUGAGUUGGCACCCCAACUCUUUUUUAUGUAGAAAGUAAUGUUUAUGUAUUUAGAAGAAGGAAAAAUGAUAUACAAAUCGUAAGAUUUUGUGGGGCUUUUAUUGAUGAAUUCAUGAAAUACCUACGAUCGAACUUAUUAUAAUUUAUUUAUUAACAAAGCUUCAACCAAAUCGAUCCCUUGUAUGCUAAAAUUAGUUGAUGUUGCUGCUGAUAGUGAUCAAUACCGGAACUCCAUUUCUGUCUCAAGAAUACUUUUCAAUUUUGUUUUCAAGUGUUAGAAAAAGAAAGAGGGAAAGUGAAAGUUAACAGAGACAUGCAUCUACCAUUGUGCCUAAAAUCAAAGAUAUAAGACAAGCAAAAACAACGAGCCAUUGAAGUAGCCUAGUUGUUCUGGCUUUCAUUUUUUUUUUUUAAGAAUGUUUUAUAGCUUCUAAUUUCGAGUUAUUAAGGAAAGAAAUGAAUACAUCAAGAAGUUGGCUUAAAAAAAAAAAUAAAAAAAAUUGAACCUUUCCAGUAGUUAUUUUUCGGGACUUUGCUGAGUAAAGUGCAGCGUAUAAAGACAAAAGAAGAUAAAAAAGAACUAUGUGAAUCUAUAUAAAUUUUAAGUUCAAAAAAUGAGAUAAUAUAUUAUAAAAUUUAUAUAAAUUAUGUUGUAGUUUUAUAUAAUAAUUUAAAUUAUUUUAAAAAAUUAUAUAAAUUAUAUUUUGUAGCUUCAUCUAAUAAUUUAAAUUAUUGAAUUAUUUAGCAGUUUUAUGUGUCACGGGGUAUAUAUAAUUUAUUAAGAUUUUGAAGUCAUUCUUUAUAAUUUAAACAUAAAAUAAUUGGACAAUAUCUUUAAAUUGAAUACAAAAUAAAUAACCAAAAAACAAAAUGGAGCACAUCCAUUCAUGAACCAAUACCCAUUAAUUAGUUUAUUUAUUGCCGCAUAGAUCCGUAGUUUGAGUAUGAUUUUUAUUUUAUUUUUAUGUAGCCAUGGUAAAACAAAUAUACAAGUCAUAUUUUUCAAUACCAAACUUAUUUUGGAAAACGCAAAACUCAUGAGUUACACAUAUUAUUAUGAGACUAAUAAACUAAAAUUCUAUAUCUGAAUAAAGGAAUCGAGUAUUUAGUUUUUUUUUUUAAAUGAUGAUAACAGGCAUCAAGAACAAAAAUAAAAAUAAAAAUAUUAAUAGAUUGGAGGAAAUUAUAAUGCUAAUUAUUAUGUGCUUAAGAAAACUAGGUGAUAUUCUAUUAUCUCAAUUUACUGGAUGAUGUUUUGUUAAUUAAUUAUGUGAUAUUUGCAUAUUUAAUUCUUGGGAACUAUUGAAUUUUUAAAAUAAUAAUUCCAUUAUGUAUUGAAAAUUAUAUUUUAUAACACAUGUGUAAGCGUUCAACAUCAGGGAGAAUUUAUAGUUCUUAAAAGAUUAGAGGUUUGCAAGAAUUUUGACAGUGUUAGAGUUAUAAUUAUGCACCAAUACAUACAUACAUACAUGUGUGUGUGUGUCUAUAUAUAUAUAUAUAUAUGCAGAUCUACUGGCAAGUCAAUGGAUCCGGUUAAAACCUAUUUAUUAUUUUUUAUAUAAAGUAAUAUUAUUUUAUUUUUAUUUUUAAAAUAACAUCAUUUAAUUAAUUCCAAUUAACCCACCUAACUUACCUAACUUGACUUAAACCAAGUCAUGCCCCGGCCAGGUCAAUACAACUUGGAGAAUAACAAUCCUUUAAAUCUCAUCAUAAUAUAAACACAGUACACACAGGCGUGCAAGCUGAUGCAGCAAAUUAUUAGAAAAGAGACUCAAAAAAUAAAAUAUAAGUAAAGUAAAAACACAUAGAGCAAUAGAAAACAUUUCCAACGAAAAUUUCAAUCAACAUUCAUCACACGUUACACGCAUAUAAAUAAGAACUGAUGUUGCUGAGUUUAUGGUUGCUGAAAACAAUGUGCUAACCAGAUAAUCUAUCCGUGCAAUUGGAAGCAUUAUUCAUCAAUGGUGACAUAUCAUCAAUGAUGACAUAUCGGUGAUUUCUGAUGUUCUCCUUCUGUUAGCCUUUGGUCAAUGCCAUGGACUUUGCUCGGAGAUUCAGAAAUAUUCCCCUGAAAAUGAAGGAAAAGAAGGCCGAUUUCAUUCUGCAAAAUCUAGUAAAGUAAAUUUAAAACAGAGAUGAGUAGGUUGGAGACGAAGAGAAUACCAGCCGACUGCGAUUAGGCUGUGGAAGAUGACACGGAAUUGCUGUGGAAUGUACUGGUGAUUUACCCACCCAACAACAGGCCAGAACUGCAUUUUUUUCAUUUAUCAAAGUUUUAUGACAAUUAAUAGAAUUGUUAUUUAAUGUACUGAACUGAUUUAACUGUAAUCAUAAAGGAGCAAUACCGUCCAUGAUGUGAACUGCACUGCCGGGUAUUCCUUCUUUAGUUUAGUUUUCACCUGCGACCAGGGUCUUCCUGCAUUUCAUGUUUCUUGUUAGAUGAUAAGCAUCAAUAAUGUUCUCUUUCAUGCAACAAACAAAUCAAUCAGCACAUCAUUUCCUAAUGUCUGUGUGAAAUUUUCUCAAACCGAGCCAACACAUGCUUCUUCCAAGCUACCUUCGUUUUAAAUUUCGACAGUUCUUUGACUUUAAAGUCAUGCAAAAGUACUUCAAAUUAAGAAAUGGAAGAAAUCUUACAUUGGGAUCAUAAUUGGGGAGUAGGUUGUGCAAGGAAUCAAUUUAUUUUUUAAUCCCUUUGUUUCUGCUAAAGAUUCUUUUCCAUGGAUCUAGACUUAUAACUUCACCGACGUAUUUUUUUUUAUGUCUUACCAGAUUUUAUGGAAGUGAAGCUUAGAAAAGCCAACCAUCAGAUAGGAUUGCAGCAUUGCUGAGUUAAGAAUCUUAAGAUGCAGAUACGGACUUACCAUCGAUAACCAUCCCAUAAUAAACCAUGAAAACCAAGUUGUUCCAAGGAGAAGCUGUCAACUGCUCCACUGCCACCUGAUAUAAUGAUUCGGCGUUUUAGAAUGGCUUUUAAUUUAAUAGGCUAGAAAAAUGUGUGUGAUUGAUUGAAUGAUCAUCAAUAUUUACGUAGGCAUCAGGUGUUGCAGUAAUAUAUAGAACGUAAUCAAGGUUGAACAAAUUUGAACACGACACUAGUUAUAUGAUCAAAAAGUUGUAAUUUAUAAUAGAAGAACUGGGAAUUUGGAAUUUUACAGGUGGAGUCACGAGUUAGUAUACCUUCUUGGCAACUGUUGUUGUAUCCUUCUUUCCCUUGAAAAGUUUAUCCAGUAGUAUAUGUAGGUAAUGCCCGAAUGGUCCAAGAUAUCCAAACCCAAAAAGCUGCAUUUAGCCACGUUAGGAUGAAUGAUUGUAAGAGAACAGGAAAGGUAGGACAGUAAAUACACAUAUUUUAAUUAACAUUUCAGAAGUUGACAUGCAUGCAACUUAGAAUAUCUACAACUUUUUAUAGCAUUUAAAGAUUCAAAUUAAUUUGCUGUAACUUAGGAUCACUAUUGUGUUUUGUCAUGGUCAAUUCAACUACGAUUGAAAUAUAGGUAGAUUUGAUCAUCUUUGUGCACAAAUGCUUGUCAUUUGCAUCUAAUGCCUGAUAUAUACCAGAAAGUGACCAAAGGUAGACCAGUGGUUAAAUAAGUUAAUUUAAUCCUGCCGAAUAGGAUCACAACACAAAAACCCUCAUUCAAAACUUUAUUGCUAAAUAUUCUCUCUUCAAGUAGUUUGCUGAAAUACAAGCUAAACAACUCGAUUUAUACUAAUUCUAGGUCUAUAUUGAAGCAGAAAAAAUCCUAACAAAAUAAUUAUAGAGUUACAAUAUAUUUGGUAUUCCUAAACUAAAUAGGAAAAAAUAAAAACACUGUAAAGAAAAAUAUUUUCCUACUAUUUCCUAUCAAUUAGAAUUCUGCUUACUCCAGAGUCCUAACGCAUAAAUUGCUAAGGAUUCUGGUUCUGCCGAUCAAUGAAGUUAAUGCAUUCUAUAAUAGAAAUCAAAAGGGAAAAAUAAACUGAAUGGUAUAAAACUCACACGGCUCAAUCAGUUUCAUUGGAAAACAAUUGAAGGUAAUGAUAUGAGAAAGAAACUAGCUUGUACCACUUUGAGCAAAAUCCUUUUAAUUUGAAGUUUCUGAAUGCCAGAGAGUUUCUGCGAUACUAUGUCACUGAGAGCUGACAGCACCCCUGCUGUAAUUGCCUGCAUCACACAAAUUUUCUUACAGCAUCAGAUCGCAUUACUAAUUCACAAAGGUUAACAAUUUAAUAAUUUAGAUCUCAAUUUUUCACUUCCAAACUCAAAACAAUUGCAAUUAUCAAGAGGGCAGUUGACCUCAAUUUCCCAUUUUUAAAAAAUUCAGAAAACUGCAAAGACCCAAACUUUCAUCACAUUCUUCCCUCAACCAAAGUAACCCAUAAAAAAUCAAGCCAAGAAAAAAGAAAAAACUAGAAAAGAUUCAAACUUUCAUCGAUUUCUUCCUCAAUCAAAGCAACCCAUCAAAACCAAAUCCAAAACAAACAAGAAUACACAUAAAAAACAGAGAGAUUGUUUUCAAAUACAGACCUUAGUUCUUAAGGGGUGUUGUUGAAGCUGUAACAUAUACUGUUGCAGUCCCUUCUUUGCUACUGACCCCAUUUUUGUUUUUCCUUUCUCCUCUCAGAUUGAGCAAGGAAGACUCAACUUUUUAUACUAGUAAUCACCCUCACCUAACUCCCUCUCGUCUCCUCUCUUGCUAACCUGACCAGCUGCUCGCUCUAAAAUAUAUAACAAGACAUAAAAAAGUGACAAGUGGUACUUAAGUUUUGGAGUCUCAGUUCUGUCUAUGAAAGCCAAUAGCAACAUGAGUUACAUGAGUUGACUAUAUUCACAACCAUAGUUAUUAGCAUAAGUACCUGUGGUGCCACGUUCGAGUCACAAAUUCAUUAUCAUAAUUUAUAAUUUGGUUCAAUAAUGUUUUUUUCAAGUCAAAAAAAUUAAAACAAGAUUUUAAUUAAAUUAAUUGAAUCAUACCAGAUCAAUAUCAAUUAUGGAUUGAAUUUUUUUUAUAGAUCAAAAGAUAAACCUAUCGUAUCAUGAUUGUGUACCGGACCUCAAAACAUGGGGAUGUUCAGUGUCCUUUGCUUUGGAAAUAGCUACCGUAUAGCAAAUUUUUUAGAUGGUCAAGAAAAUGAUUUGCUAACCCUUCUAUUUGUUUAUGGACACUAACUUGAAAAUGUAAAAUUAUUGUGAUUUGACUUUUCUUUUGAUAAACCAUAUGCCUGUCUCUUUACUAGCAUCUUGGUGUUAAAAUUUAAUUUUUGUGUUUUUUUUUUAAUAAAGGUAUCAAGUUGAUGAUUUCUAGAGAAUAAUAAAUAAUCAAGAAAAUAUUCUUUGAUGGAAUCAUAAUUUAAUUUGCGUACAACUUUGUAUGAAAAUGAUAGAUUAUUUGGUUUAGGAAAAAGGUCGUAGUUUUGGAAUUAUUUAAAGAAAUAAGCUAUCUACAUCAAAAUUAGGUAUCCAUAAUAAAGAAAAAUUUUAUUUAGUUUAAGGGUAAAAAUAUUUUAAUUUUUUUCUUUAACUCACCUAUAACUAAUUAAUUAUCUUAGCAUCAAACGGGAUAGCACUACUCUAAUGGCUAGCACAAAGCUAUAUGGAACUCGUCCAUGAGAAGAGUUCUUCCUAUACACACAAUAUCUAUUCUGACCAGUUAAAAUUAUAACAGUGGAGCUUCAUUUUAAUGACAAUUUAAUAUCAAGCUUUUAAUGACAAUUUAAGAUGGGUAUUAUUCGGUUUAGAGUUUAAAUCAAUUUAAAAUGGUUGGUCCAUCCAGUAAAUCUAUAUCAAUCCUAAAAUAAUAUUAUUUUAAAUAAAAAAAAUUAUUGGUGUUGACUUGAUUAAAUUUUUAUUAAUUUAAUCAACUUAACUAACCAAGUUAUAAAUUAACUUAUUAAAUUAUAGAGUUUGACUAGUUGUCGUCCAAAACAAUUAAAACAAAUCUAGCAUACUACUAACUUUGAAUAAAUAGGUUAAAGUUGAUAUACAAAUUCCCCAUAACAAAAAGUUUAUCAAAAUUUUAAUAAUUUUUAUUGUUCAGUUAGUUGGGCUUGAUUUAUAUGUUUAGGGUUUGUUAUGGAUUAUAUUUCUAGUUUUUUUUUUUUUUUAGCCCAAAUUUGUUAUGUUUGUAAAUGCUAUGUUUUUUUAUGUGGAGUUGUAUGACUUGACCUACAAGGCCCAGUACACUACCGGUGUACAAUGAGGAUUUCUCAAUGAUUGAAAAAAAUUAGAAAUAAAAAUGAAAAACUUCCUUUCUUUUCUUGAAAAAUAUAAAAAAAGAAAGUCAGAUAUUCAAAUCAUUCUUUUCUUGUAUAGAAUCAACUUUGGGUUUUCCAUUUUAAAGUGAGUUUUUCUCUUUACUUUGGCUGUCAAAUAUUUUGAUAUCUAAAUCUCUUUUUGAAUUUUGAUAAAUCAUUUAUAUAUAAAUUGGAGUACUUAAAAAAAUAUAUUUUAAUAUUUUUUUAAUUAAAUUUGAAUUCAAAACUUAAAACUUGAAAUCAUAAUUGUUAAAACUCAAUUAGGUUAAUCUAAUAAAUUUAUAUGGUUUAAAAUUUGAUUUAAAUCAAAUUAAAAUUUAAUGGAAUAUGAUUUAUCUAGUUAAGUUGAUCUGAUCAAUUUAUUGAACAUGUACAAUAUCUUUGGUGAUUAUUUUUUUAUUAAUUUUUUUUAAUUUUAUCUUUUUUUUAUAAUUCAAUAUUUGAUAAAAUUUAAAGAUUGAAAUUAGAGGCCAAUUUUUCAUAGAAUAAAAUUUAAUUUUUAGUGUUGAGAAAUUAAAAGAAAGAGAAAAACAUGGAUCCUUUUCAUAUUCAAGUAAAAAAGUUCACUUUCGUUAAAAAAUUCUCCAUUCACUCAUUUUUUAUCCCUGAAAUUUUGAUUCUAUAAUUUAUUUAUUUAACAUUCGUUGGCCAAAAUCUCUACAUAUUAUUUGCCGCUAUAAAUCGUAGUUUCUUUAUUUAUUUUUAAAUAAAAUGAACUAUGUGUCAUUCACUCUAUUGAGAACAAAAGCAUGGAAGGCCAUGUGCCAUGUGAGCAAACUUAACUAGUCAUCAAGGGCCAAGCGCGUGAUUUCUUUUUAUACAAUCUUCUUCUUUUUUUUUCAAAUCUUAAUUAAAAUUUAUUAUGAAUAAAAUUAUUCAACUUAUUCUUAAAAUAUUAUUUCAUAGAAUAAUAUUUUAUUUUGCCUUAAUUUUGUUUUCAAAUAAUAUUAAAAAAAAGUUUUUUAUUUUAUAAUAUUAACAAUAACUUCAUUAAUUAUUAUAUAUCAAUCUAAUAUGCUUCUUUUUUUUUUAGAAUCUGUAAUCCUGAACAUUCAGUAAAGAUAAAAAUUAUAUUUUAUUAUAAUAUUUUUAGAAGAUUUUCAAAAAUUUCUUAUUUUCCUUUUCAAUUGCAUAUAAUAUAUCAAGACAUUAUUUUUAAUAUUUUUUUUAUAUUAAAAUGUUUUUUCAGAUAAGUUUUUUUUUCGUUAAAAAAGUGCAUUAAUAAUGAAAUGUAGUUUAUAUUGAAGAUUUACAUUUUUCUUACUAAUUUUAAAUUAAUUACUCAAAAUUUUACAAAAAAAAGUUAUUUUGAUUGCUUUUACUUUUAAUUAAAAAACCAUUAUAUUAAUCAAAAAGUAUUUUUGUAAAAAACAAUGCAUGAGCAAGAAAACGAAUAUUUUGUUUAACAAAAAAUACAUUUUUAAAAUUAAAAUCAUAAUCUUUUGUAGAAAUAGUUUUUAUAAUGGUAAGAAAAUAAAAAUAAAAUUUGAAAAUUAUCUCGUGGUGACAAGACACGAAUAAAUAACAAAGCAUCAUCUAAGUUAAACAGUUAAUUUUCAAUUUUUUCUAUUGAGUAACCCAAGUACUAUUCCUUUAUUUCCCUUAUUCCUAAUUUUAUACUAAUCCCAGUUAAUUAACAAGUUAAUGAUGAACGAGGGUAUUUGAAAGUGUAGUAACAGUUGCUUUUCAAAUAGUUUUUUGUAUCGAAAAACAUGCUAAUAAUAUUUUUUUAUUUUUUAAAAAUUAUUUUUGAUAUCAGCACAUCAAAACGAUCUAAAAUAUAUAAACCGCACUCAAUUUUAGUAAAAAAAAAAAUUUGAAAAUUUUCAAAAAACAGGCUGAAGUUCAAUGCCAAACAACCUCUUAAAUCAAAUCAAGGAGAAGCCAUUACCCAAUUAAAAAAUAUUCCAAGUUUUCUUGAAGCAAGAGCUAAUAUAUUGAGUCCAAAUCAAGAAAAUUUUGCAUGAUCGCAAUGGUGCUGAGAAAACAUAAAUGAUAACAGCUGAAGUACGUGAGAAUUUUGAAGUAAACAAAUAUUCUAUGAGGUGAACGGGUCCGGUCAGCAGCCAAUAGCCAAUGCUGUGUUGUGCCUUGCCAGCUCUUUUGCAAAGUCAAUUCACACACAUAUGACCUUCACUGUUGCUUGCUCUGUAUACCCUCCGUUGUCUUCCUCCAUUUUCAUCAUCAACCUCUCCUCAUACGUACAAACACAUUAAAGAAACCGAAGAAAAUCAAAGAAAUCCCAUAUACAAUAUGUCAUCUUUGCAACUUCAAGCUUUCUUUUCUCUUCUACUUGUAGUUGUUCGACAAGAACCAACCAAAGCAGCCAUUUCCGUCCCUAAACUUCCUAGAAUUCCCUUUUCAGAUCCAAAAAAUCCAUUGAAUUGAACCUGUUGAGGAUUUUAAUUUACGAGAUGGGUCCAAAGGCACAAUCCCAUUAGAAAACAAUAAUGUUGCAAAUAACACAAGACUUGAUCAAUAUGAGCCAAUCAUUUCUACAACCGGUACUCCAGCAACAGCCAAGCUUUAUGCGAUCUUGGAAGCUGUCGGUAUAGAGUAGAGAUGCAUGGAAAUAUUGGCGAGCAACGUGACAACUGGAACAAGCUUCUUUUGAACUCAAUUAAUAUGAAUCACCCUCACAGCUGCAACCAUGGCUGGUAUUGCAGCAGGAGCUCCUCUUUUGGCUCUGAAGUUACCAUCAACUCUUUUAUUUCUGCAGCUACAGGGAUGUUAAUCUUCAUGAACAAAAUCCAACCUUCGCAGUUAGCAGAAGAGCAAAGAAAUGCCACAAGAUUGUUCAAGCAACUUUAUAGCCAAAUUCAAACUACACUUGCUCUUCGCGAUCCUACCGAGUUAGAUGUGAAGACUGCAAUGGAGAAAACAUUGGCUCUUGAUAAAGAUUACCCUCUUCCUUUGCUAGGGAAAAUGAUUGCAAAGUUUCCUGAACAUUUCGAGCCUGCUGUCUGGUGGCCUAAAUCACAUGAAUCCCCAAGGAAGCAGCACAAAACACAAGCGAAGAAUGGGUGGAGUGAAGAUCUUGAAAAGGAAAUGAGGGAGUUUAUUGAAGUGAUAAAGAGAAAAGAUAGUGAAUACUCCAAAUAGUCCUGACAAAUGGUGGUUGAGAUAAGAUUUAGCAUUUUUGAAUCACGAAAUGCUAGGUUUUCAUUUCGUAUCACAAAAUUAUGGCCAUCUCAGGUCCAUUAAUUACUUACAGGCCUUGUCUUGGAGCUGGUGGAGACGACGGUGGAUUUGUUAGCAGUGCUAGCUGCAACUGGAAGAGAAAGAAAAGGAAGAAAUCUAUAGAGACAAGACGGAGGAGCUAUUAGUGGUUACCUAUAUCGCUGGUGAGAAGAUGAGUUCGCAGGGAGUCUGAGCCGCCGUCUAUCACAACAUGGAGAAGAUUAUGGUGGCAAAAGAACUAGUAGAGAGAGAUAAAAAAAAAAAAAAAAAGAAGAGACAUCGACUAGAAAAAUUGGUUUCUGACGAACUUUGAAUUUGAUGUGUCCAAAAUAUAAGCCUUACAAUUUUGAUAUCUUAUUUUUUUUCUUAGCUUUAUUUUUUUUGGUAAAAAUUAUUAUUAUUUUUAAUUUUAUCAUUUAAUUACAAUAUUGUUUUUAUUUUGAAAAAUAGUCUGCCCUGGGUCUAAAGCUAAUAGCAUCUAAGCAAAAUUGGUGAUUAAACAAUACAUUUUCAAUUUUUUUUCUUCGUAACCUCAAAAGUAACCCAACUUUUCCUUUAUUUCCCUUAUUCUUAAUCUUAUCCUAAUCCCAAUUAACAAUUAAAUGAUGUAAUCACAUUAGGUUGAAUACUCCUAUAUAAUUUAAUUUUGAAACCCAAACUGGAAAGAUUCUGGUUGAUUUUGAUUUCAAAGAUAACCAAUUCAUAUGGGUUUAAGGAUACUUUCAAAGAGUUAUUCAUGUCAAUGCACAUGCGUUAUAUUAUUAUUAUAUUUAUUUUAAAACACUAGCAUUAUAAUUAUUAAGGUACUUUUAUUUGUUCAAAUUGAAACUUGCUUUGGGAAUAAUGAUAAAUUAAAUAUUCUAUUGAAAAAUCUUAAAAAAAAAAAGAUCAUGUUAAUGAUGUUGCGGACAUGACAUCAAAACAUUAAUAAACUAUCAUAUGCCUCUUAAGAAGGUAUUGUUGUUGGGAAGGAAAAGACUUUAGGUUUAAUCAUAAAAUUAUGAUUAAAGUUCAAGAAUUGUUAUCUAAUAUUAUGAUUACUAAAAAUCUAUGAUUUUGCUAGAGUCUGGGUAAAUGACUAACUGUGCAAGGAGAAGCAGUAUCACUCCAAAUAUAUCAUACCUAAAAUAAGUAGCACUGUUAUUUGGAUGUAUUUCUCUAAGUCAGGUUUUUAUUUGUUAGUGUUUUUCUUAGGUCUAAGACAUAUCAUUUUAAAUUACCUUAUUGAGUUUAAUCCUAACUAUUUUAGAGUUUGGAUUUUAGUAUUGUAUUUAUUUUAAACUUUGUAUAUUUAAUACAUGAGGGUAUACUCUAUUGUUUAGUCUUAUACCAUAGAUAUUAAAAUCCAUAUUUAAACCCUAAUAUAAAACGAUUGGAAUAAUUUUUGAUAUUUUGUUCAAAUCCUAUUAGAUAAUCAUAAACUGGUUACAAUAUUUAUUUAAAAAAAAUAAUGAGAAAGAUGCAAUUUUUUAUUUUUUUUAUACGAAAAUAUAGUUGGAAAACUUUUUAGGAUUUUAUCAUAUGCAUGAAAACAAUUUUUUAUUUGAAAGAGGAAAUUAAUUUAAAAAUUUUGAGAUUUUUUUUUGAAAUAUUUAAGAGGAAAUUAGGUAUUUAAUACCGGAUCUAUAUCUUACAGUGUAAAUAUACAACCCGAUAUCAUGCAAAAUUGAUAGAAAAAUAUAAGAGAAAAUAAAAAAUAUUUUGAAAUGCCCCUUGUAAAGUUUUUAGAUUUUUUUUAUUUUUUUAAUAUAUAAUAUUGUAAUACAUAUUAUUAUAUUAUUUAUCAUUAAAUAAUAAUAAAUAUGUGGGCUUAGCUAGCUCAGUUAAUUGGGCUGAGCCCAAUUAGGUUGGCCAAUCUCGGCCCACCAUUUGUUUUAAUUUGGGUCGGACCCAACCUAACCAUUUGGGCAUGGCUAAGAUUGGUCCAACCCAAAAUGAGGGGUUAAUUAUUUCCACCACAUGCCAUGCAGAAUGCAUUAUCGUUCUAUAUGCAUAAUAAUGGCAGGGGGGAGGAUGGAUAAGGAGAAGGUGGAGGAAGGAUGGGUUGCUUGGCGUGGAGAGUUGCUGGUGGCCUUGCCAUGGAGCUGGUGGAGAGGACAGUGGAUUUGCUGGCAGUGUUGGCUGCAUUUGGAAGAGGAAGAAAAGCAAGAAAUCUACAAAAGGUAGACGGAGGAGAUAUUGGUGGUUACCCCUAUCGUCAGUGAGGAGAUGAGUUCGCAGGGAGUCUGAGCUGCCGUCUAUCACAACGUGGAGAAGGUUAUGGUGGCAAAAGAACUAGUAGAGAGAGAGAAAAAAGAGAGAUGUCGACUAGAAAAAUUGAAAAAAUUAGUUUUUGGCCAACUUUGGAUAGGUCAAGAACAUAAGUCUUACAAUUUUGAUAUCUCAUUUUUUUCUUGGCUUUUUUUAUAUAUAUAUAUAUAUAAAAGUUAUUAUCAUUUUUUUAAUUGUAUUUUGAAAAACAGUCUGCCCUGGGUCCAAAGCUAGAAUCAUCUAAGCAAAAUCGGUGAUUAAACAAUAAAUUUUUAAUUUUUUUUUCUUCAUAACCUAAAAAGUAACCCAACUUUUCCUUUAUUUCCCUAUUAUUAUAAUUCUAUCCUAAUCCCAAUUAACAAGUUAAUGAUGUAAUCAAGGAGAAGACAUUGGCCAUUUCCAAAUAUUCUAGUUUUCUGUAGUUCUUUAUAUCGUGAGACUAACUUGUGGUAGGGGCAAAAAGAACUUGAAGCAAGAGCUAUAUAAUGUAUUGAGUCCAAAUCAAGAAAAUUUUGCAUGAGGAAUGAUGCCACACGAAGCUGAGAAAACAUAAAUUAUGACAGCAGAAUUGAUCAAUUUAAGUUGCAGUCUAAGGCCCGGUAGAGGUAGAGGCAGAGGCUGGAGUAAGAAUCUUGAAGUAGACAAAUUUUCCAUGCGGUGAACGGGUCCGGUCAGCGGCCAUAAGCCACUGUUGUGUUGGACGUUGUCAGCUCUGUUAUGCAGUCAAUUCAACACAGAUGACCUUCACUGUUGGUUGCUAUAUAUACCCUCCGUUGUCUUCCUCCAUUUUCACCAUCAACCUCUCCUCAGACGUACAAACACAUUAAAGAAACCAAAGAAAUCUCAUAUACAAUAUGGCAUCGUUGCAAGCUUCAAGCUUUCUUUUCUCUUCUACUUGUAGUUGUUCAACAAGAACCCACGCAGCCAUUUCAAUCCCUAAACUUCCAAGAAUUCCCUUUUCAGCUCGAAAAAAUCCAUUGAAACCUGUUGAGGAUUCGAAUUUACGAGAUGGGUUCAAAGGUACAAUCCCAUUAGAAAACAAUAAUGUUGCAAAUAACACAAGACUUGAUCAAUAUGAGCCCAUCAUUUCUACAGCCAGUACUACAGCAACAGCCAAGCUUUAUGCGAUCUUGGAAGCUGUCGGUGAUAGAGUAGAGAUGCAUGGAAAUAUUGGCGAGCAACGUGACAACUGGAACAAGCUUCUUUUGAACUCCAUUAAUAUGAUCACUCUCACAGCUGCAACUAUGGCUGGUGUAGCAGCAGGUGGCGCAGCAGGAGCUCCACUUUUGGCUUUGAAGUUAUCAUCAACUCUUUUAUUUUCUGCUGCUACGGGGAUGUUAAUCAUCAUGAACAAAAUCCAACCUUCACAGCUCGCAGAAGAGCAAAGAAAUGCCACAAGAUUGUUCAAGCAACUUUACAGCCAAAUACAAAACACACUAGCUCUUCAUGAUCCUACUGAUACAGAUGUGAAGGAUACAAUGGACAGGGUUUUGGCUCUUGAUGAAGCUUUUCCUCUUCCUUUGUUAGGGAAAAUGAUUGAAAAGUUUCCUGACAAAUUUGAGCCUGCUAUUUGGUGGCCUAAGUCAAACAAGUCUCACAGUAGAAAACACGUGAAAGCACAAGGAAAGAAUGGGUGGAGUGAGGAUCUUGAAGAGGAGAUGAGGGAGGUGAUUGAAGUGAUAAAGAGAAAAGACAGUGAAGAUUAUAUGAGACUUGGGAACUUGGCAUUGAAGGUGAACAAGAUUUUAGCCGUCUCAGGUCCAUUGCUUACUGGCAUUGCAGCUGCUGGGUCUGCCUUUGUAGGCCAUGGAUCAUGGGCAGCAAUCGUGGCAGUCACAGCAGGUGCAUUGGCUAGCACAGUAAAUACAUUUGAGCACGGUGGCCAAGUUGGUAUGGUGGUUGAAAUGUAUAGAAACAGUGCUGGAUUCUUUAAUCUUUUGGAGGAAUCAAUUGAAUCCACAAUUCAAGAGAAAGAUUUGGAGGAAAGGGAAGAUGGAGAAAUGUCUGAAAUGAGUGUUGCAUUGAAGCUUGGAAGAAGCUUGUCACAGCUUAGAGAUCUUGCCAGAAAAUCAACUUCUUCUCACAUAGAUGGAAGCACCAUAGAUGAGUUUGCUAGCAAACUAUUUUGAAAGUAGAUUUUUCUACAUUACUAGCUAAUCCACAUUCCUUCAUUACGUUCUAAUACCAAUUCCUUUGUACAAACUACAUAGUGAAAGCUUGUUUGCAAAUCCAAUAUUAUUUUAUUUUAUUUUUGCAUUAUAAAAUUUUAAAUUGUCAACACCUCCAUUGAAUUGUUGAAUUUUCUAUCAUGAGAUCAAAUGGACUGCGAUAGGAUGUUAUUUCUAGCUGUGGAAAUUAAGGGUUAGCUAUGCGCGCAAUGGUAGAAAUUUGAAGUAUACAAGUUAUUAAGGGGUGAACAGGUCCUGUCAACAGCUAUUGUCCACUCUUCCUGGCAGUCAAUUUUUUGAAUUCGAUUAAAAAAAUAUUACCUUCACUUUUCGCAAGAUUUUUUUUUUUUAAGGUUACUACUAGAUAGUGAUUUGUGCGAGACCAUAUCAAAUGUUUUCUAAUAUAAAUUAUAAUAAUAUUUUUAAAAUAAUAAAAUAAAUUUUCAACCAAAGCUAUCGAUUAAAAAAUAUUCAAUAAACUCGAUUAAUUUAAUAAUAUAAUAAAAAAAAAUCAAUAACAAAAAAAAAUAACUAUGACUAAUUAAAAAAUUAAAUACUUACUAAUAUUUUUAAAAAAUACCCUCAAAAUUCUCAAAAUAUCUCAAUAAUUUUAUUUAAUAACAAAACAAAAUUAAUUUUUUUUAAUUAAGUAUUAUAAAUAACUUCCAUUUGGUCUCUCCUCUUGCAUUAUCAACCUCUUCUCCUAGAUUAAUAUGAAGUAAUCAAUUACAUUACAACUUUGUAUACCAAAAUUAACUUUUAAAUACAUUUAUUUAUAAAACUUACUAAAAUAAAUGAUAGAUAUACAUUAUACAAUAUUUCAUAAUUGUCAGUAUUAUAUUUUUUAUGAUAUUCUUUUUUUUAAUUUAAGUGACAAUUGUUUGUAUCUUUACUAAUAUUCAAAUACCAUUAAAGUUUAAUGGUACUUAAAACAAAUGACUUAUAGCCAAAUGCCAAUAAAAUCUUAUCAUAAUUACGAGUAAUAUUGAUAUAAUUGACUUUGAAAGUUAUAUAAAUGUCACUAAAUACAAUAAAUUAAGAUAAUUGCUUAAAAUAUCAAACACAUAAUUUUCUCUCCAAUCUUUUCUUUCUUUGGCUUGGCUACCUACAUACUUUUAGCCUCCAUGCAUGUCAGGAACACAUAUCACACCAUCCUGUCUAACCCAUAAACCAUCUUCUUUAACUCUCUCAGGCCCCCACUUUCACCAGCAACACAAGAUAUCCUUUUCUAGUGCUAGCUAGUGAUCACCAUAAUCUCUAGAGACAUAACCAUUGUACUAUGAAUGAAAUAUUUUAAAAUAUUUAUAAAUGGCGAGGAUGAUCAGGUAUGAAGGCACAGGACUCUUAUGACAACAGAUAUACUAAAAAUCCAUGCUUACACUCUCAAGUUUCUUGCUCCUGUAAUGCUUUUAUUAAAUUAAGUAUUAAAGAGUCUGUUUUGUCGGUGAUACCUAGUUACCUAACCCAACAACCAGUCCACUACUAGCUGUGAAGGAUCAAAUCCAUUUGAAGUUCAUCAAUACCUAAUAUUUCCUUCAAGAGUAUGAUCUCGCAUGAGUCUUUGGCUUCAGUGAUUUCUAAGGGCAUAUACGUACAAGGGAAGGGCAGUGGCUUUCCACCGGGACAACAAGGACGUGGUGUUCUUGUGCUUCCAUGACAAUUACAUCUCGUGAAAUAUCCAGAGCCGAGAGUUGGAAAGUUAUCGGUCAGCUUCCAUAUAAAUUUUGCCUUUAUAUAAUUCGGAAGAAUUAAUGAUAUUUCCAUGGAUGGGAUUUAAGAAACAAGAGGUCCCCUACUCGUGCAUGGAAGUUGAGUCUUAAGAAAAUCUUGCAUGAGUGAUGGUGUCGCAGGAAGCUAAGGUAGGAUACAACCGCUGCAGAUCAAGUUUUACAAUGUCAGACCUGAGACCAAAGAAACAAUUCUAAAGUGGUGAAUUGAUCCAGUCAGCAGCCAACGUGGUGGUUUGUCAACUCUAUAAUACAGUCAAUUCAACCCAUAUGACAUUUUCUUUCCACUUGUGGUGGUUGCUAUAAAUACCUUCCAUGGCCUCCCUCCAUUUUCAUCCAUCAUCAACCCUCUCCUCCCUACAUACAAAGAAACCGAUCGAAGAACAAAAGAAAUCAAAGAAACCCCAUAUUACAAUAUGGCCUCUUUAAGAGCUUCAGGCUUGCUAUUCUCUUCGUCUUCUUGUAGCUGUUCAAAGGGAAUCAAUGCUGCCAUUUCUGUCCCUAAACUUCCAAGGAUUCGUUUCCCAGCUACAGAAACUCCAUUAAAAUUAGUGGAGGAACUGAAUUUAAGAAAUGGGUUCACAAGUACAAUCCCAUCAGAAAACACAGGACUAGAUCAAUAUGAGCCAAUCAAGUCUACAACUAGUACUACAGCGUCAGCCAAGCUUUAUGCAAUCCUAGAAGCUGUUGCUGAUAGAGUUGAGAUGCACAAAAACAUCGGCGAGCAACGUGACAAUUGGAACAAACUUCUCUUGAAUUCCAUUAAUAUGAUCACUCUCACAGCUGCAACUAUGGUUGGUGUUGCGGCAGGUGGUGCAGCAGGAGCUCCUCUUUUGGCUUUGAAGUUAUCAUCAACUCUUUUAUUUUCAGCAGCUACAGGGAUGCUAAUCAUCAUGAACAAAAUCCAACCUUCACAGCUCGCGGAAGAGCAAAGAAAUGCAACAAGAUUGUUCAAGCAACUUUAUGGCCAAAUUCAAACUACACUUGCUCUUCGCGAUCCUACCGAAUUAGACGUGAAGGAUGCAAUGGAGAAAACAUUGGCUCUUGAUAAGGCUUACCCUCUUCCUUUGUUAGGGAAAAUGAUUGAAAAGUUUCCUGAAAAUUUUGAGCCUGCUGUCUGGUGGCCUAAACCACAUGAAUCCCCAAGGAAACAGCACAAAACACAAGCGAAGAACGGGUGGAGUGAAGAUCUUGAAAAGGAAAUGAGGGAGGUGAUUGAAGUGAUAAAGAGAAAAGAUAGUGAAGAUUAUAUGAGACUAGGAAACUUGGCAUUGAAGGUAAACAAAAUUAUGGCCAUCUCAGGCCCAUUACUUACAGGCAUUGCAGCUGCUGGGUCUGCCUUUGUAGGCCAUGGAUCAUGGGCAGCAAUAGUGGCGGUGACAGCAGGUGCUUUAGCCAGCACAGUCAAUACAUUUGAGCAUGGAGGGCAAGUUGGUAUGGUGGUUGAAAUGUACAGAAACUCUGCUGGAUUCUUUAAACUCUUGGAGGAAUCAAUUGAAUCCACAACUCCAGGAAAAGAUUUGGAGAAAAGGGAAGAUGGAGAAAUGUUCGAAAUGAAUGUUGCAUUGAAGCUUGGAAGGAGCUUGUCACAACUUAGAGAUCUUGCUAGAAAAUCAUCUACUUCUCAUGUAAAUGGAAGCACCAUAGAUGAGUUUGCUAGCAAACUCUUUUGAUAGUAUUAGACCUCUCUGUCCAUAACUAAUUCACAUUCUUUUAAAAAUUCUUUCUGUACAUCAAAGUAACAUGUACAGAUUAACCCUUAAUUUCUUUUGUAAAUGACAUUAAAUUUCUUUCAUCAAGAUGUUAUGUAUGAGAAACUUCUCUCUUACUUUACAGAUUACCACUAAAUUCAUGAGAUUUGAUAUCUAAAAUGUAAAGGGAAUCAAUGUUCUUAAAUUUUACAUUUGUUCCAAGUGGCUGUAGUUCGAAGAGAGCAUUGUCAAAGAUUACAAGUUUCAUGUAUUCUUGUCCCUGAUGGUUACGGCUAGUUAUUAAAUAUAUGUUUCUCAAGCCCUCAAGUUAUUGAAUAAAUAUCCUAGUUGAUUUAGCCGUCAUUUAAGCCACGAAAUUCAGAGGCUGGUCUUCGUUUGCUUUGAUUCAAAGCUGUAAUAUUUUUAUACAUUCCAAGAAGAGAAAUGUCAAAGUAUAAAGUUUUGAAUAAUCAGAUGUCACAGUUUCUUUUAUUUUAUUGAGAUGUGAACAGUGGAACUUAGAAUGAAUGGACUUGAAUUUAAUUUCAAGCCAUUUACAGGGCUUAAAGAAUCAGUCCAAUAUGGCCCAAACAGAACGUCCGUCAAACUUGGUUAAUUCUAUUUUCAAAUUGUUUUUAAAUUAUUUUUAAUUUGAAAAAAAAUAUUAAAUUAAUAUUUUUAUUAUAUGAUAAUUUAAAAAAAAUACAUAAAAAAACAUCAUUUUAAUACAAUUAAAAAGCCUCUUUCCUCAUUAUCAAACUUUAGUUGAGAUUAUGAGCAUCACCUUUCAUCAUAAAGAUGAGAUGUGCCAAGUCCUCUUGGGAUUGUUAAUGGAAACACCAAUAGUGGAUAAACAAAUUGUUCAUGGUCAAGGUUUAAAUAUAAAUUUGAGGAUUUAAUCAAGCUCUCGAACAGUAGCCGCAAAUGAGAGAUAUGUUUCAACAUCCUGGGGGGCAAGCGCUUUGUGCUUUGCUUUUCUUAUAUUAUGGGUUGACUCCGUCGCCCGUCUCAUCUUUCCAAAGCAUGGUAGCUGCAGAUGUGUAUCGGUCAGCAGAUAUUCUGUAUUCCAAAGGUCUUUUACCAGAAGAGGUCUAUUACAGAAACUCUAAAAUACGUUGGAAUUCUAUUAUGUAUGCUUCGUUGAUCAAGAGACAAUGGCCUUGGACUCGCACAGUUGAUUCUCACAACUUUUGAAAGCCACUUUGCUUUUCGUGUAGGCUUAGAAAGGCUUUGGAUUUUCUGAAGGUUCAGAGGGGCUUGGAAAAGCAAGCCACCGGCUUAAAACUAGUUGCAGAAACAGGCUGAGAGACAAUACCCUUGCACAGCUGAUUUUCAUGUCUCGAGCAGUUCCGUUUAGUCUGUUUGGAAGUAAUACUUUUUACUUAGAAAAGCAUGUUAAUAAUAUUUUUUUAUUUUUUUAAAAUUAUUUUUGAAAUCAAUACAUCAAAAUAAUUUGAAAACAUCCAAAACAUAUUAAUUCAAAGCAAAAAAAACAAAAUUCUUUUAAGAGCUUAUAAGCCACCACACUAAAACCACUGCCUAUAUACAGGGAAGGCUCACAAAAUUCUUUGCCAGGCAGUGUGAAGGGGCGACGGGUGCUUGAAAUGAGCAACACGCAAAGAAAGUAGAUGUGGUUUUCAUUUAUUAUCAUGAAAUUUGUUCUCAUUUGGAACGAUGUAACACAAUCAUUCCUGUCAAUUAAUAAUGAAAAUAUGAACAAGAUACAGAGAACAACUUGGAGACAUAAAUAGGGGAGAUUUCGUGGAUGGAGUUCAUCGAAAACAGGUCAAAACAGGAACCAAUUAGAAAAUGCAGGAACUGAAGUACGAAACCUGAGUUAAGAUGGCUUGUAAUACUUAGUUGGUACAAAUGGCUUUUUUGUGACAACUCCAUCAUAGGCCUUCCCACGAACCAGUAUUUUCGCUUUGGUGCCUGACUUGUGGAAACCAGAUUUCACGUACCCCAUGGCUAUAUUUUUCUUGAGGCAUGGGCUAAAUCCUCCACUAGUAAUUUCUCCAAUGCUAGUCCCUUUCUCAUCCUGAAUCUCACUGUGGGAUCUAGGAGGUGGACCGGUGGAGCUAAAUCCUACAAGCCUGAUUUUUGGACCUUCUGCAAGUUGUUUGAGUAUUACUUCAGCACCCAGAAAGCCGCCUUCUGCCUUCCUUCUCUUCCCUAUCGCCCAAUUCAGUCCUGCCUCUACUGGUGUUAUGUGCUGUUCCAUGUCAUUACCAUAUAAGCACAGCCCAGCUUCAAGUCGGAGACUGUCCCGAGCACCAAGCCCUGUCAACCUUACUUUUCCUUCAGAUUUUUCUAGGAUUGCUUUGGCAAGAUCCACUGCAUUCUCUGAAGGAACAGAAAUUUCAAAUCCAUCUUCACCAGUGUACCUGAAAAUGUCAGCAAAGAGGCAGAAGAAAUCCAUCAUGUCCAAGUAUGAAAAACAUAAACAUGGAAAGACAUGGUUUAAAUGACAUUAUUUACUAAUUUCUUCUUCACGAUGUCAAAAUAAAGGGGUACAGUUAUAGACAAUUACCAUGUUCCACUCAUUUUGUUGCAAAAUAAAGAAUAGGGGAAAUUAAGCACCCUCAAAACGCUUCUUAAGCUCUUAAUGCUACAUAUAAAUGGUCAUAGAUGUGCAUUCCAUAUUUGAGGACAUAUAAAGUAGGAGAAACCAAAAGGAAGUGUACCCUGUCCUAGUAAUAAAGCAGCGCGCUCCAUUGAUGUCUGUAAUACGGAACUCCCCAAAGUAUACCUUGCUCAAAUCCUCUUUUGUCAGGUGUUGGAGAACAGGGGCAGCAAGAGGACCCUGCACCACAAAAAAAGAGGAAACUCCGUAAGGCCAUGAUAUGAGGACACCGUUGCUCCUGAAAAGGUUUGGCAGUGGCAUACAAUAGAAGAAGAAAGAGUAGUUCAAAGCACAAAGGUAUUAUUACAAUGCGGGAUAGUACACAUUUCAACAACCUGCCAGACUUGCUUUAGUUGUAUACUAAAGUCGCGAAUUACUUGAGAGCUGGAUUCAAAUAAUUAAUUUUGCAAUAAUUCAUGAAUAUCAAGACACAAUAAAAGAUCCAACGAGGAAAAAAAAACGAAAACAAAAGGAGAGACAAAGAUAAGAACACAAAAUUGACCUGGAGGGCAAGAAGAGAUCUCUCAUCAUGGAUGUGCCAUGAGACAUCUCCACCCUUUGCCUUGAAUGACUUCAUAUGUGCCUCGAUGUGAGCAAGAUCCUUAUCUCUACACCCUGCAUUCACAACUAUGUACAUGUGAUCAUCCGUCACCUUGGUGAUCACUGAAUCAUCAAUUGCUCCUCCUUUCUCAUUAGUAAAGACAGUUAGAGUCCCAGUUCCAGGUGCAAGCGCAGCAACAUCAGCAAUAACAAGUUUCUCUAGGAAAGGAACACAGUCCUUUCCCUUCAGGCUAAACCCACACAUAUGUGAGACAUCAAAAAGGCUACCAUUCUGUCUACAAUUCACCGUCGAUUCCAUGAUGGAGUCCUUGUACUGGAUGGGCAUGCUCCACCCAGCAAAUGGCACCAUCUUGCCACCAUUAGCAACAUGGAAGUCAUAAAGGACAGUCUUUUUCAUCUCAGCUUCUGAGGCAAAGUAUCGACGUCCCACAGCCUUCUUAUCAGUCUGAGCAAGGCGGCGGGUUAUUGAUAGGCCAAGUUGCCACAAACCUCCUCCCCUCAUCUUCUUAACAGAGCAAAUCUAAUCAAAACAACAAUCAUAUGAACACUUUGAUACAACUGGUGACACCGAAAUGAACAUACCAUAAUCAGCGCAGGCCAAAUACAGAAUAAGGUUGGAUUUUUAUUAUUUGUAUAAACAUAAAGAUUGGAUUUUGAUCGUAUCUAUGUUUACAUAUAAUCAAACCACAAAGAGACAAACGAUACCAGCAACUUAAAACCAGAGCAAAAGGGAUCGCAAAUAUGUUAGUGUCUGAGAGAGGAGAACACAAGGAAACUAGGACAUGAUUUACAAGCCACUGACAUUACCUGUCACAAAACAAACCAAAACAUGCAAUCCAGGCAACACACUAGCAAUCAAAACAAAAAUGACAAACCUUUCACUUCCCAUUUCCAAACAAUAUCUCAAAACACAAUCAACAAUCUAAAACGAAGCCGAAUGCAAAAUUGAAAAUGGGUUUUCUAGAUCUCAUUAAAAUACUCAUUACUCACAAGAAGCACCAUCAUUCAAUCUCAAACCCUUGUAAAUAAACCACAUAUAAAAAGAAAAGAUGCAAUCUUUACAGCAUAAUUGCAUAGCAAAUGUUAUGAACAUGAAAACAGAACAAUAAAUAGAGAAGCUUACAUGGUUGUUCUUUGUGGUGGUGAGUGUUGUUCAAAGGAAAGCAAAUCCUGGAGAGCUCAAAAGAGCAUCUCAUGCAGUGGAGUCUAGAUGGAUAGAGAGAUAAAAUAUGGCCACUCUUAUAUGUGUUGGACAUUAUACUAUGUUUUUGUAGCAAGGAUGUUUGGCUGGUGUGUGUAGUAGUGGGUGGAGGAGGGUGUCUCUGCCAAAUCAAGAUACAGCCAUCUCUACAACCCCAUCGCUAGUGAGUGGUGCCUAGGACUAUCGACUUUGCAGCCCCAUCUUAUUUUUGUUUUUUUUCUUGUUUUUAAGGUUAGAAUAUUUUCAUAUCAGCUAUCUUAUAAUAAAAUUGUAUUAUUUAGAUAUCUUAACAAUAAUCUCAACUGUUCCUUCUAAAUUUUAAGUUAGUUUUUUAAUGUUUUCCUAUAGUUAUUAGCAUUUAAUCUUGGAUUAAGAAAAAUGAAAUUCUUGUAAACUUAUUAAUAUAAGUAUAAAUAGUCUAUUUUUGAGGAGGUUCAAAAAUCAAACUUAAAUUAGUUACAUUUAUAUUAAUUUGAGAAUACAUAUUUAACCCAAAAAAAUAAAUUAAAUAUGCAAUAAUACUGUUUAAUUAUUGUUUUGGAAAAAAAAAAAUAGAAACAGAAUAUAUUUGAUUUAAAAAACAUAAAAAAUAAAUCUGUUUACAAAACAAUUUUAAAAUAAAUUCAAAGAAUUUUCAUUACCAGUGAUACGCUACGGUUUUCAGUUUUCAUUUGCCACAGUUUCAUGUGGACCUAUUAGAGUCUAAUGGAUGUCAAGAGGUACAAUCCGACACCAGAGAAUAUGCACCCUUGAUUUCAAGGACCUUAUCUGAGAUGAUGACUGGUCCUCUUAAAUCUGAGUGCAUUAGAAUUAGGGUGUAAGGUUAUUGAUGGUGGAACUUAGAGCAUGGGAUUAGUAUCAUUAACUGUAUAUAGAGGAAAAGAGAAGAGGAAAGAGGGUGGUUGGUGAGAUUUGAGAGGAUAACACCAAGUCAGGGAAAGGCAAUUGGCAGUUCAAAUUUGGCUGCUGAAUCUUGUUCAAUUUCUCAAGCCAGCUUGAUUUCCAAUUUCAACAAAGACUCAAGGUGAGACCUUGUCGAGUUGCAUGCAUUUAGCAUGAGGCUAAGGAUGAUCGUGUAGUUUCUGUAAAGGGGUCUGGCGCUAUACUUGUUAAAUAAUUAUUUUAAUUUAAUAAUUUAAGUUGUUAGGUAAAGUUUCAGGAUAUGAUUUAUAUUAUUUUUUUAAUAUAUUUCUUCAAGUGAAAACCUUUUAAACUUGAAAUUUAUAUAGACUUAUAUUAUUUUGUAUUUAAUUUUUAUCAAAUAAAUGAGGAUGACGAAAUUCGAAUUCGAGACCAUUUGGUUAUCAAAACUCUAAUAUCACAUUAAAAAACUAUCUCAAUCCAAUAAUUUAAACUAUUUUAGAAUAUAAUUUUAUAUUAUUCUCUAAUAAUAUUUUACAAAUGAAAUUAAGUUUGUAUCUCCCAUAUCCUUUGCAGAUCAAGUUCUGUUUUGCAGAUCAAGUUCCGUGGGUAUUUAUUUUACACAAUUAGGACUACAAAUGAAUUCUCUAUUUCUUCUUUCUAUAUACGACCGCUCCACAAUCUUGUCAAAAUCUGAAAAUGAGUGGCAAGAAAUUUGUUGUCAAGAACAAGGCAACCCCAUCUGUCAGUUCUACAAGAUUUUCCCUGUAAUUUCAGUAUUGUAUCUCAUGCUUGAGAUAGACAUUUUGAAAGAUGAUCAAACUCUUCAAAACUAAACCAGAAAGAGAGAAUAAUACCAACAAGUGUUUGGUGAAACAGAGAAGAACACAAGAUCCGAAUCUGAGUUUCAGUUUCUCACCCUUGAUAAUUACCAUAAAAAUCAUUUCCAUGUUGCAUAUAUUACAAUCUGAUAAUCACAAGCAUUUGUUCAUGUUUUCUAGCAUUUGCAAUCGUGGCUUGAAAAAAUAUGGUUUAAGAAAAACUAGAAAUUAUAACUUAUUAUUAGAGUUCAGAAUAGAGUGGGACUUGUGUAAAAAAUCAUUUCCAUGUUGCAUUAUAAUUAGCUAAUCACAAGCAUUUUCUCAUGUUUUCUAGCACUAGAGGGGUUUUAUUGGACCAAAGACCUUGCUUAAUUAAAUGUGUGUUUGUCAUUAUGUUAGCUUUUAAAAGAAUAGCACGUUUAAUAAAAACUAUUAAUUAUAAUUUUUUCUUAACUAAAAUUUUAAAAUAGAGUUUUCAGUAUGAGUCAUGUAAAAUUAUGAUGUAUUUUAAAAUGAUUAUUUUUAGGGUCUGUUUGAGAUUAUGAUAGCGAUUUAGUUCAAAAUGCUUUUUUUUUUAUAAAUACAUUAAAAUAAAAUUUUUAUUAGUUUUUUAAAAAUUAAUUUUUAUAUCAAAAAAAGAUAUCACAACAUAAAAAAAAAUUAUUAUUAUUUUUUAAAAAACACCCGUCGUUGACUUCCAAACUCUAGUUUGGAUUAUUGAGCUUUCUUUGAUGACUUUUUAUGAAACUAUUGUGCUUUUGUAAAUUUUUCCUGGAAGUCUUCUAUUAUUGCAGCUGCCACGCGAUAUUUGUAGCUGCCACGAUAUUUGUACAAGUAUAUCUUGAUUAACUUGUAACUUUUAAAUAUUUGAUUGCAAGGUGGUAGGAGGAUGGUUACAAACUUACAAGGAAAAUUGUUGUCAGGAGUUAUUGACAUUCUUAAAGCUCUAGCUUCCAUGAUUGCUAGCCAUUGAACUACUGUGGAAACUAGAUGAACUAAAACUAAAUAUUAAACAAUCAAUAUAGAUAUGUAAGUCUUCGGUAUUAUUUGCAAAAACAUCUAAAAGUGUUCAUGAACUAGGAUGUAAAAUCACAAGGGUAACUAGGCAAGUUUUCCACAUCAGGAAAUUAGAUAUGAAUGCCUUGAUUUUGUUAGUAGCCAACCUGUUUUGUAUAUCGAAAAGCUAGAAUGAGAGUUUUUACAAAUUAUAUUGCAGUAGAAGCGGUUAGCGAUCAUAUGGGAUAAUAUCAAUUUCGAGGCUUUACCAUGUAGGAUAUAUACUUUAGAACUAGUUUAUUUGAUGAAUAUUUACGGAUGUAGUUUAUAUUAUAUUUAUUAUUUAUAUGAUAAUAAAUUUAUAUUCAUCAAGCUAUAUAUAUUAAUUUAAAUAUUCAAAUUAUUUAUUAUUUAAUAAUGAAAUAAAUCCAUCCUUUAAGUUGAUAUCUAUCAUAUUCAAGUUAAAUUAUUAGUACUAAUUUGAGUAUGAUUUUGUUAGAUGGUUGUAUGAGUAAUGAUGUAGUUUUUCAUUUGUAAUUUAUUAGCAUCAUUUCUUUUUAAAAUAGUUUUUAUUUAAAAAUAUAUUAAAAUGAUAUAUAUAUAUAUAUAUUUUUUUUUUUAAAAUUAUUUUUAAUAUAAUAUAUUAAAACUAUAUAUAAAAGAAAAAGAAAACGGGUUCUUAAAUAUCGAACUUUGCCACGCAAAAUCCCAGCAAAGGACAAACCUUCCAAAGUCAGAGUCACCAAAAUAGCGAUUCUAACAACAAUAACCAGAAAAAAAUUAUGGUGGAAUCAAGCCAUCACUGGAAUCUGUCAUAGCCAUUCAAUAAAUUGGUGGCUUAAGUACUUCCCCAUAUCAUUCAAAGAGAUUCUUUCUUUCUUUCACUCUUUAUUAACCAACCAGCUGUCCAUACUUGAGUUUUCAUCAAAUUGUCGAUUGCAUCAUUACCCUCUUAGCUAUGUUGCUGCUAAUGAGCUUAUCUGAAUCUAGAUAAGGUAAAGUUCAUUUCUUUUGAUAUGUUGCUUCUUUAUUUUUAUUUUUAAAGUUUGUUGUGUUUUAAUGGCGUUGUAGUUCAAAGAUUGGAUUUUUAUGGCCAUAAUCCUUAGAGCAGAAAAACCCAUGUCUUUUUUUGCUUGAUUUUUAUGGUUGUAAUCUUAUUGGAACUGAAACCCAUGUUUUUGUUUGCUAAACUUCUGGUUGGUUGCCUAGAAACAUGAGGGUACUAGAGAAGGAAAGUGAUAUGGAAGUGGCACUUGAUGUGUUUGUAGGUUAUGAAUGUUCAUAAUGAGAAUUUGUUUAUAGUUAUUAGCUAAUGAAAAACUACUAAGCAUAAACAUGAAGUCUAUAGCUUCAGUUUUCUUAUAGUUGAUGAAGCACAGAGGAUUAUGGAAAUCAAUUAGAAGCUUCUUUUGUCUAAAUGAGAACUCAAACUUCAACAAUAGGGUUAAAACUUGAAAGCUGUUACCAGACUUUUUGUUUGUAGGGGAGGGGGGGAGAUAGUAUUGUUUUCAGUGUGUUUCAGCUAACAGUAUCCUGAAACCAAUUUUGGGACACAAAGACUAAGUGUUGAUUUAAUAUCAUCUAAGCAAGGAUUAUGAUUUAUCUGAAUUUCAUUGUCUCCUUAAACAAUAUGGGUGUUUGUCUUCUGUUUUGAAGGUAAUGAAUUUAUGAUGGUUUAGCCAUGGUAACCAUCAAUCCAUCAGGAGUUAGUAGCAAGUGCAGCGCAUAUCUGGGUGUUAACACACUUCAUGAUGCUUCUUUUUGCAAGAUUACCCAUGUCAAUACUUUGAGUACUGCCUUUUCUCCUAGAAUUGUAUGUGGUCCUUGCAGUAAUGUAGCGAAUGAUUCCACAAUUUCUUGGAAGGGGUGCAGCCAACUCAGAACCCAUCAUGUAUUACAGCGAGUGGCUUCAAAUAGGUGGCUGGUAAGUAUCAGUGAAGCUUCAGGGUUGAAGAUUUCUUUUGAUUUGAGUUUGAUUGGGCGUUCAGUAAUGGUUACAUUACAUGAUACAGUGCCGAUCACAUGAUUCUAAUUCACCUGAUGAUGAGUAUCAUUCUUCUCGAAACAUAGCAAUCAGUUUGUUUAGGCGAUACAGGAAUGUCAUUGACCGUGGAGGAGGUGACAACUUAAAAGUAUAUUCAGCAAUUUAAUCUUUAUCCAUCAUUAUGUGGGUCUUUUUUUGCUGUCAUUCCCAAAUUACAUGUUUGAGUGAUGCUGCCUGUCAGGAGUUUAUCAGUGCUGGGGUGAAUGCAUAUGCUGUUGGCUGCACUGAAGAAGGAUUACGUAAGGAACUUACUGCUAUUAGAGAAUCUGGUGUUGAAAUCGAAGCAUUGCAGAAUUAUGGUGGGAGCACCAGUGUGAAGUCCAAGAUACUUGCUGAGGAGGUAAGUUAAUCCUGCCUUGUUGGCCAGUUCAAUGUAUGACAGUAUAUACUUAAAAUUAAGGAUGAAUCAACACCAUGGAAUCUAAUACGCCUCAGUAUUGCAUCUUUCUUUCUUGCUGGGAUAUUAUAGGCUUUGAACUACUUUUUAGUUAACGCUUCUCUCACCACAGUAAGGAUCCUUGACAUGCACUGUCAAUAUUAUAUAUGGCGGUUUUUAUUGUUGCUGUCUUUAUGAUGCAGCAUUUGUUUGAAUUUAUAAUAGAUACUGUAAGGAAGAAUAGCAUUUGUCACCACGUAAGGAAUCCAUGCCCUCUCUUUCUGUUGUUAUGAGAUACCAAUGGAUGCCAGAAGAAUUAUUUGCAUUUUUUGUUUACGAUCUUUAUGUUCCCAACAAAACUUUUUGCAACCUGCAUUUCUAUGACUAUUGUGAUUCGCAAUGAUAGUUUUACUGUUGAUCAGAUAAAUCUAUCACUAGGAUUACAAGUAAUAAGGAAAUGGAUGAUGGGCUAACUUGUGGCAUCGCAAUUUUUUUUUUUUCAAACUGCAGGUUGAUGAGUGCAUUCUGUGGUUGAGCAUUAUAUUUAUCACAAUCUUGUGUACACCACAACCAACUAUAGUUCGAUGGUCAUCUACGCUUCCAGUGUCAGAUGACAUACGGCUUCAGUGGAAAGGGUUUUGUGCGGUCAUAGCAAAUGCUUACUACGUGAGAGGAAUGGCAUGGUGAGCUGCUUUGAUCACAUCUGUUUUGCUAGUAUUUUGUCCAAUACUCAUUGAUAUCAAGCUUCAUGAACUUGUUAGAUGGUUGGUGUGGUUCCUUGACAGUCCAAUCAAAGUACCAGUAAAAUUUGGUUUAUAACUAUGUUUUUUUGUUGGUUUAACCCGUAUAGAGGUUUCCCUAUUGGUUGUUUGUGUGGAAUGAGUAAGAGCUCGCCGCAAAAUUUUCCAAGUUCAGUUACAUAAUUUUCUUUCACUAUUGUUUCAAAUUGUUUGCUCUCAACAUUGUAGUCCUGGUCAUUUCUCAGUUUCAUGUGUUUGGAAAGAACAUGCCUUCUUUACUUCACCUGGCACGUCAUUUCGACAUCUAAAAAACAAUUGCAUUUAAGAUUGCAUGACUGGACUCAACUUUCUCUUUCUUUUUUGCCGAAGGCUUCCAGUUAAGACGCUUCAGCUAGAACAAAUGGCAGUUUCAGGAUGUGCUGAGGAGCCAUCAGUUGUUGCCAGCCGAAUGCGACUUGUUUUCAGCACACUUGAGGUUAGCAUACUUUGCCAUCAUUUUUCAGUUAAUGAACAGAGAUCUAAUACAAAACCUUCUUGAUGAACACCAUACAGAACCUGCUGCCUGUUUUUGACAAAUUUCACUUCCUGAAGAAACAUACAGACCUUAAGUCAUGAAUUUUUUGUGCGUCAUGUCUUAGUUAUUAGUCUGUCAAAGUUACAUUUCUUGAGAAUUACUACCCCAAAUUCAUUCCAAGUAAUGAUGUGUUGCCUAAUCUCUUUAUUAAAAUACCGAUGAUUGGUUGAAGGAAUGCUUUGCAAGUGAGAGCAGGGAGUGUUGGGUUCAGAGAAAUCACGUCCUUGAAUAUAUUGUAUUUUGCUAUUGUUUUCUCAUUAUACCAUUUGGAACAUUGAUUUGGCUUGUGCAGGUAGUAAGUCCACAAUGGCCAAGAGUCUAAUAAAAGAGCUUCAGUGCAGAGAUUCUUCUUUUCCCUUGAUCUCGAUGGAGCUUCCGGUUCCAGUUACUCAUUACAAAUUAGUGCAGCUUUACAUUUAGCAAUUUCUUAAUGGUUUUUAAGCAGAAAUGCCCAUAUAAUAAUAAACGUGUCAUAUCAUGUUUGAUGUAUAAUCGAUGGCAUGUAAAUUUGCAAGGAUUCAGCCAGAAAUCUUCAAAUAUUAUUUCGAGUGAUUGUUAAUCAACACCUGAAAAGAAUUUGGCAAGCAAUCACACCAUGGUUCUUCUUGUCCAGUGUGAAUAUUCCACCACUUUAUGCAUCUGUGGAGAAAUUGUUGUUUCCAAAUGUUCAUUAUAAACAAGGGUAUGGAAUUUCAGCACCAUGAGGUUUAUUUAAGGCGAUUCCAAGUUGGUUUUCAUCUGCUGUCUGAUAUCUGUGAGGUUGCAUGGUCAAUGACAUCAAGAAGCCUUGUAAACACUGGCUAAAAAGUUUGAAUUAUGCCAUUCAUACCGUGUCUGGCAAAUUUUCGAGUAGAAACAAGUUGUGGACUGGAGUUGUGUACAUUACAGAGCUCCCAUGCUUUAUCAGGGACACUGCUAAAAGAUCAAGGAGCAAGAAACUGCAGGUUAUGUACAUGCAGUUUCUCCAAAUUUCCCCCCAAUUGUGCUUCCUUGCAAGAAAGUUUUUUAUAAUACAUAAACUGGUUACGCAACUCUCAGUAGCGCAACCAAUUAACAUUCAACAAGUGUGCUACUUCCAUUAACUCAAUUUUAUUUUACAAGUCUGUGCUUGCCACUCGACACCUUCGUUCCUCAUUCUCCUUCAAUCCAACAGAGUACAGAAUACGUGAGGAGGAAAAGUUUUGAAACAGGAAGGAAGAAGCAUGCAUUUGAAUUAUCGCAAAUCUGAAGCAGCAGGACAGGCAGCUAGCAGCAGAGUCGUUUUGUGACUUCCUUGCAUGCCAAUAAACUGCAUUUGCCAUUUCCGAUGCAUUCAAAUAAGAUAGUGGACGUGCAGCAUGAAGAUGUUGAUACUAGCUACAAUAACAGAGCCAGUGAAGCAGUCCGUUGUGCAUUGAUCGAGGCCAUAAUGGUCCAAGAGGGUCACUGACAAAGAACUGAAUUUCUAGGUGUACAAAUUUUAUCGUUCUAGCUAGAUCAUCUAGCUCGUCCAACAUGCGUUCCGGCUUGUAUUUUACUGUGUAUACCAUGGCCGGCUCUGCACACGAUUUGUGUUUUGUGAAGGCUAAAGGUGUAUUUGAUUUUGCGGUUCAAUUGGUUUUUUAGAAUCUUCUUAAAUUAUUUUUUGCUUGAAAAAACAUUAAAUUAAUAAUUUUUAUGUUUUUUUAAAUAGCUCUGAUGUGCUGAUAUAAAAAAAAAACAAAAAAAAAACAUAAUUUUAAUAUAUUUUCAAUUGAAAAUCACUUCUACAUAACAUAAACUAAAUCAUAAGUUUUAGCGAACUUAGCUCUUGAAUUUUAAUUUUUUAUUUGAUUAUCUCAAACUAUUUUUUAAUUAAAAAUAGAUAUUUUGGUAGUUUUUAUCACAUGUGAUCUUCUAAAAACAAGGCAUAUAUUGUGAAAACACAUGAUUUGAAAAACAUUAACCGAGAAGAAAAAACCUAGACGAAGAGGCCUACCUCUUUUAGUAAAAAAACUAGUUACAUGACUCGCGCGAUGCCGCGGGUUAAUUUUUUUAUAUAUAAAAAUACCAAAAAAAACUAAGAUCUAAAAGUGUUAGGUCUAGCUUCAAUACUAGACCCAAUAGCCUUGUAUGUAGAUCUGACUGUCAUGUCAUAAAAGUGUAAUAAUUAAAUAAAUAAAUUAAAAAAAAACCAAUAGAAAGAAAAAAACUAAUGAAGGAAAAGAGAAAAAAUCUGAAUUAAUUGGGUUAACCCGUCAAACCCUAGAUUCAUGUCGUGAAAGUUUGAUAACUAAAUAGAAAAAAAAAAUUGAUGGGUUAACCCAUAAUUAAACGGGCUAACCCGUCAAACUAGGUUACUUGUCAAACCCAGGAUAUAUAUCAUGAAAGUCUAAUAACUAAAUAACAAAAAAAUUAAACACUAACAACCUAAACUAAACGAAAAAAAUUAAUUAAAAAAAACAAGAAAAAAACAAAAUCAAACAAAAGACAUAAGCCUGUUACUAAUGAGAAAAAAUAAAAAAAAACAUCUAAAUCAACUGAGUUAACCCUUCAAUUCAGGUUAACCUAUCAAACCUGAGAUUCACGUCAUGAAAGUUUAAUAACUAAAUAGAAAAAAACAUUGAUGGGUUAAACGAAAAAAAAUUAACAAACUAAACUAAACGAAAAAAUUUGAUUAAAAAGGAAAAAAAAAAAAAUUUGGGUUAACUUGUCAAACCAAGUUAACUCAUCAAACCUGAUAUCCGUGUCAUGAAAGUAUGAUAAUUAAAUAAAAUUGUUUUUUUUACAUUAACAAACUAAAUUAAACAAAAAAAUUUUCAUUAAAAGAAAACAAAACACAAAGAAAAAAGUAAAAAAUAAACCUAUAGGCAAAAAAAAAAAAAAAACAGGAAAACAAAAACGAAAAAAAAAGAAGGAAAAACUGCUACAGAAAAAAAAACCAAAAAAAAAAAAAUGUUACAAAAAAAAACUGCUACAGAACAAAAUAACGCUCUUUAGCUACAGUAAAAAAACCUACGUGUGUUUUAGAGUAUUCUGUAAUAGUUCCAAUCACUUAAAUCAAAGAAAUUAAAAUUCAGAAACUAAAUUAAUUUGGACUCAAAAUACAUGAUAGUUUUACUUAAUUUAGCUUCCUGGGUCUAAGUAGAGAUGGGGGUUUGAAGCUGGCGUGGUAUUAUUAUGGGCUGAGCUGGGAUGGAUUGGGCCUAUGAUCGAAUAAAGCGUUUAUUGAGAAAGGAAUAACUAUUUUACUAUAAUAUUAAUAUUAAUAAUGCCUAAAUAUUUUCAGUUUUUUCUUUUAUUUUGUUGACAUUAAAUUAUAUUUUUAUCGGCUUUUACAUUACUAAUGAAUUUGCUGAUGAAAAACAAUAGAAUUAUUAUAAUUUCUUACAACAACGCUUUUAAUGGAUAUAAAAUAUUCAUUAUUACUAGAAAAUUAAUAAAUCGCUGACUGUCAAUGUUUAAGCUAAAUUACUUAGGAUUUGCGGAUGAAGAGGGGGUAAUAUAAAGUUUUUUAUAGCAGUGGUCUUAAUGGAUAUAAAAUGUGCAGCACUUUCAUGUACUGUGGACGUCUGCUACAAUUCAUCUCCUUAAUAAAUGUUUUAAUUUAAUUUUGAAUGGUGUAAUUUAACUAAUUUUAAAUUUGUAUUUUAAAAAUUAAUAAUUUGAGUGUUAUAAAUUUUAAAAUCACUAGGUUCCGUUUGGGAUUGAGGUGUAACCUGCUUUUCGAAAAAAUUCAAACUUUUUUUUUUUUGCUAAAAUUGAGUGCGGUUUGUACUUUUUAGAUCGUUUUGAUGUGCUGAUGUCAAAAAUGAUUUUUAAAAAAUAAAAAAAUAUUAUUGGCAUGCUUUUCGGCACGAAAAGCUAUUUGAAAAGCAACCGCUACCACACUUCCAGACACCCUCUAAGUUAGGUUUCAGUCUAUUUAUCACUAUGUCACCAUCGUACAAAUUCUUGGGACUUCUUUUAAUUAAGACUUGUACAAACAUUUAACUUCAUAUUUAAUCGGCUUGUAAAUCUCAUAUAAAUUCACGUAGGGGAUUACAAACUUCAUAUGAUUGCGGCAGUAUCCAUCCAGGAUGAAGAUCCUAAAGAAUUAAUCAUGUAAAUUUAGAAAAAUGAAAGUUUCAUGUAUGCAUUGCUUUUGAUCACGAUAGUGCAAAGCCAAAUGUAAGAACAAGGUUCCAUAAGUUAAUUAAUGGCAAAUCUAGAAGUUGGGUUUCAGUCUGUUUACCACCAUGUCACGAUCGUACAAAUUCUUCGGAUUUAUUUUGAUUAAGACUUGCACAAACAUCUAACUGUAUCAUGGAUAUAUAGUACAUGAUUUAUGAUAAAUUAAAUUAAUUUUCCUGUGGGUUUUUUUUAAUUAUAAUAAUAAUAAUGAAGUCAAAACUUAAUAAUUAGAUCUAAAAAUUUUAAAAUUUAGUCAAAAUUUUAAAAUGGAUGGAUAAAGAAUGUAAAAUAUAAUAAAGAGUAAUCUAAGAUGGGAUCAACACAUUUAUGAAUGAUGGAAAUAAGAAAAUACAAUCACAAAUAUAACAUAAAUUAAUUAAAAUACUAAUGAUUCCCACAACAUUUGAAGUGAUUUCAUUGGAAAGCAACAUAGUCUCAAGGAUCAAUCAUGUAGGAUAAAGAAAUCCCAAUAAAAAUCACCUUAUUUAAGUUGGAGAAAUUUUGCUCGUUCCCUAGCAUAUUAUUAUUAAUUAAAGCCAUAACCUACGUCCAAGACCCCGUCAAUUAGUAGCACGCACACAAGAUGAUAACAUUCGAGUACUAGUCAAGGCCGCGCACCUCCAAACCCACCACCGUAUCCACCACCGUAACCACCACCUUUCCCCACCACCUUGAGAAUCACUGCCCCCACCACCACCUCCGCCCCCACCACCACCUCCACCUCCACUUCCAGACCCAAAUCCACUUCCAAAGCCAAAGCCAAACCCUCCACCUUUUUUACCACCUCCACCACCUCCCCCCUCCCCCUCCCCCACCCCCUCCUCCACCACCACCAAGACUUCCCUUUCCAGCUCCACCGCCAAAGCCAGCACCAAAACCAGAUCCAGAUCCAAAGUCAUAACCAGGGACAUAAUUAGAGUUGGAUGUCUCUUCCCCAUGAAGUGCACCCUCCUUGCUCAUUGCUAGCUUCCUAGCAUCUGUGACAAGAACAAGUGCAAAAAGCAAAGACAAAAUAAGCCUUGCAGCCAUCAUUAGGAGAAAGAAACACCUUAACUAGCUUGAGAUGAUGUUUUCUUAUGCAAUGACCAAACCAGUAGAGAAUUUAUAUAUAUAGCCGUAGAACUUCGAGAUGAUUAGUUGAUGAAAUUAAGGGUGCAGUUGAGAAUUAAUGUUGCAAAUUCUACACAUCCAAUCAUCUAUACGCCGUGCUUAUAUAGUUAAUAGAGCCAUCUGCCUUCAGUGAAAAACUGCCC
rnacentral:lncRNA from 1 species